UUUUCUCACGGGAACGCUCCUCUCCAUCGCGCUUUGCUGCGCUUCGUUCUCCACACAGAGAGAGAGAGAGAGAGAGUCUUGGUGGUGGAGUGGACGGGAAAUAAAGUUUUGGCGAGAGUGACAUAUAGGCUAUUUUCCUUUUCUUUUUCUUUUUAUUUUUUCUCUCCUCAUUAGUGGGGGGAGCUCGAUCUCCGGAGUUGACGUAGCAGUCAUCUCUUUUUCUCCCUCUGGAUCUCGUCACCUUUGUUUGGAGUAACAGCCGUUACCAUUGUUUGGAAGCAUGAAUAUAUCUUAAUAUUGGAUUGCAGUAUAUUUUUUUUUGACAUUUUUUAGAGAGAGAGAAAAAGGAGGAUGAUGCAAUAAUCUAAGGAGCUGUAUUAUAUUAUAUCAUCUUAGAGCUUACUGCAAUAUACUUCUUCUAAGUCAAUGCAUAAAACAAAUUAUUUCAAGUCACCAUUUAUGCACAUUUAUCAAAUCAUAAUACCUAACUUGGCGCUCCCGUAGCCAAGGGAUUCAAAAAAAUUGGUAAUAAAUCCAAGAGCUGCACUAAUCUCCUCCUAUCAUAGAAAAAGAAUAUUCUUUUUCACGUAACAGGAACAUAUAGUAUUACUUAUAAAAUUACAUACAUAAAAUGCCAUUAUUAAAAGAAAAUUGAAUAAAUUAAAAUUAUUUAACUAAAGUAAACUUAUUAAUGAAGGAAUGAUACCUAUUGAGUUGUUUGCUUUAUUAAAAAUUUAUUAUAAUAGGCUUUUAUGGCUUCUUAUGUAAAAUAACAUUUACUUGAUACUUUCAUGGAUGUCUUUCGAAAAAAGCAUAUCAUAUAGGAUAUAAUUUAAUUUUCUUAACCAAUAAAAAAUAAAGUUGCCAUUGACAUAUUUUAUUAUUUGUCAUGGUUAUAAAAUUUUGCAAAUCCGAUAAAUAUCUGGUGCAACUCGCCAAGAUGUUUAUCAGGUUUGUAUUUUCCUUCCACCCGUAGAUACUGCCAACGGCACAUCUCGGCUAAUGCAGCAGCAUAACAAUUUCAAAUUUUGAAUUUAAAUUUGCACCUGUGCAACGGUCGGGUCGUAACGGCCCUCAGGUUGAGGUAACGGGUAUUUAUUUGCACCUGUGAUGGGAUCUGGGGCGCACGUGGCCUUAGCUGGUGAUGUCUAUUUUUCGGGGGGAAAAGUAUCUGGAUGAUGGAUGGCAUGAUGCUGACGACUCUCCUCCCCUCCAUUGUAAAAUGUUUCCUAAAUUACUAUUUUACCCCUCGCGCUUGAAUAAUUUUUGACCGGCAGCGGACCGGCAGGUGUCUGUGGACCCGUUCGGGCAGCAUAACUCGCCUCACAAAUUGGAAGAUUGGACGGUAGAUUUUGUCUCAACCGACGCUACUAUUUUAACUAAAAGUUGUUGGGGAUGAUUACUGUAUGCUAACGAGAAAUUAGUCCUGUAAUCCAAGCAGUUAAAUGACACCAUCACAGGGUACUCCUUUAAAAAGUUUGCCCAAUGGACCUUUUUCCCCCUCCUUCUAAAUAAUAUCCUUGAUUCACAGGGUCUAAAGUUUUGAUACAUUUGCUAAUUGGUUUGGCUAAUUCCAUUUAGCCAUCCCAACACUAAUUUCCAUAUUCUUCAUUAGAAAUUUUAAUCUAAGCUUGCUAGGGCUUGAGGGGUUAGAGGUGUUUUAUCUCCCAAUGUACAGUAGUUUAUUGUCUAUAGUUCUUCCUAUCAAAAAGAAGAAAGUACAUGUCUUGUUAUAUUGAGAGUAUGUGUGAUUAAUGAAAAUCUGUAAAAAAAAUAAUGGAUUUGACUUAUUAACAAUUAUUCUUACCAACAUGGCAAGAGUGUAUAGGUGCGAGAAGAGGUUUGGUGACUUUAUUUUGAGCAAUUACUUCUAAUAUUUCUUCCAUGCAAUCUCGAUGUGAGAAGAGGAAUUGAGCAAGAAUAUGAGUGAUACAUCACUAAAUUUUGUUUGUGAUUAGCCUUAGUUUAAUCAAUAAUCCAAUCCUCUUAGCACUUAGUCCUUCUUGGUUUAAAUUUUAUAGGAUGCAUGAAAAAAAUCAAGUAAAGUUAUCGAGGUUAAUGAUAUAUCGCAUGGAAUCUGAAAAUGAUGCGCUUACAUAAAUCAAAAGCAGAGAUGGAGGAUAGGAUGCUCUACUUUUUCUUUGACCUUUUUUUCAGCUGCUCCUAAACCAAACAAAGGUACCAAAUCACUGGAUGAUUAAAUUUUAACUACCGGGCCCAUGUGAGAGAUCAAAUGAGGCAAAAGAUACCUCUGAGAUCCGAAGAACAUAGGAUUUAAUAUUUUAAAAUUAUAGUUCGACGCUUUAAUAUCGUCACAGUGAGUGAUACAUUUGUCGUCGUUUGCAUUUUUGGUGUAAGCUUGUAAAUGGUGAUGUGAACGCCCUAACAAGUGCACUAUUUUUCAGAACCAAAUUUGGGUAAUCAAAGUAGAGUAAAAACUUAGCCUCUGUGCCUCUAUUUAAUUAUAGCUGAUAAGUUCACUAAUUGGCAUUGUUUAUAUUAUCCUACUCAGGACAUAAUGUUUUACGGAUAAGUUCUUGAAGUUUUUUGGUGGCCUUGGCAGAUGCCGUAAGAAACGGCAAGCGAGUUAAGAAAAGCUUAGCUUAUCGCGUGUGCACAAAGAGAAGAAUCAAAGUUCUGACAUGAGAUCGAAGUUUAAGAAGAAAAAGAUAUUGAUGACCUAAGCUUGCACAUGCUCAUCAUGUGAAGAGGAUAUCUAGAUAAGAACAAACUUUGGUAAAUCUCUUCUUUAUUAUAAUUUCACGACGCUUUGGAGAUUGAUUCCACCCUCGAACACAGCUCCUAUCUGAGCGUUUGCUUCCCAUGAUUCCUUUCUGUUCGAUUCCUUGAACCUUGCCCAAAAUUCGAUUCCCUGUUCCCUUCCUUGUGGCUGUGCGAUGUGAUUGGCUCAUGCGAUGUGUUUGCUCCUAUCCUAGUAGAUUGCCGGUUCCACACUUUUUCUUUCUUUCUUUUGAGAAAUAGAGAAGGAAUACCACCAAUAAGAUUAUAACUGUAUCAACUCAGAACUUUACCAAAAAUGACUAGUUGAAAGAUAUUAUUUGAAUUUCUUAAUCCUAUAUAAGUACUCAAGAUUUAUCAAGCAAAUAAACGAUGUGGGACUAAACACACGUCCAUAGGGAUCCUUACAUACUCUCUCGUUUAAGCCAUGUCGUUUCCAUCAGACUAAAAGUUCAAAUCCAAUCACAAUCACCGUGGUCAGCACAUGAUUAAUCCUAAUGGAUCUGCACUGCAACGUCCAUGAGUCCACUUAGAUUAUAAACCGGGUCGCUCUGAUGCUAUUUGUAACAACCCAGAAUCUUACCCAAAAUGAUGAGCCGAAAAAUAUUAUUUGGAUUUCUGGAUUCUAUAUAAGUAUCCAAAAUCUACCAUGCAAAUAACCGACAUGAGACUAAACAUAUAUUUGCAUAGAUCUUCACAAAAAUUUUGAAUUUGAAGUUCCAACCUUUGCUCUUUUGGCGAGGAGGAUUAUGGUUUGCAAAAGCAAAAAGUUAUGCGAGAUUUGAUCAAACUUUAUUUUUUAGUUUUUGGAGGGUUGUGGGGAAGAAUCCACGGUGACUGGGGACACUGAACCUCCCUCAAAAAAAGGGAGUGACCGUUGGAGCUUACCCUAUGCACCUAUUACUGCCCUGUUGUUGUAGAUCUUAGAGUUUUGCAAUGAUGAAUGCAUCUGGAUUUUCAAGUUUACUCGCCUGUUUAACAACUCUUGCAUGAUGGCAUUGACCAUUCAUAUGGUAGUGGCAAUAGUUGGUACACUUGUCAUGAUGCAAUCUUGAAAAGGGUAUGGCAUACUUGUAGUCAAACUGUUGAAAAUCUUUAUCAUCUUUACCUUUACCCCCAUCCUUAGCCAUUGCUCAUCGUAAGUCAUCUAAGAAGAUCGCUAGAGUGAUUAAUGAAGCUCUAGGGCAACAUAAAGCAGUAUUACUUACCUUUUAUUUUUUUGAUAGGACAGAUGAAUCAUAUAAUUCUAGUACGAAUAUAUCCAAAAGAGCCAAAAAAACAAAAAUAUCCCAAAAAGGAGAUGGCAAGGUCGCACCACUAAUCCGCAACACUUCACUAGAGCACUCAACAACAAAGAAUGAAACCCUCACGAUAGCCAUGAUACCCAUCCAAAUCUAGGUUGUUCUUGAGUAAACUUUAGGCAUUGGUAGAUGGUCAAUCAUGUCCUUUAAGAAAUCCCAAAGGUCAAAUGGCCUAAGAGAUUGAAUAGGAGUGUGUUGGUAGAGGUUAGGUUGAGUUGGUACAAUGGGGCUUUAUAGCUUUUGUGGGCAUUUUCUUGGCUUUCAUCUCCUAUUUUUAGGGUGGUUUGAUUCUGCAAAGGCACCCCAAAGUAUAAUCUGAACAACCCCAUCAAACAAAUGGUGCAAAAUGGCAACAAUUUCGGAGUGUUUGCCAAAAAACAUUUCAGUAAACUAAUGAAUUUGAUAAGUGAAGAUGGCAACUUGAUAUGUAAGAUUAGAAAGGACAAAAAGAAAUAUAGAUUUAGGAGUAUCAACCUCUUACACCAGAACUUAAGACAGUUCAUCCUGUUCGAAUGCAGAGGUUCGAUAAUUGAGUCCUUAUAUUGUGAAAUUUGACAUGCACUGGAUCCAACAAGAACUAUAGAUUUUUCGGGCAUGGAUCUUCAAUGAAUCUUAUAAAAUUGAAAUGAAAUUAUCGAUUAUGAGCAAAUCGAAGUAUCAAGCUGGUUUCAAUUCUGCAUGGACAAUAUGCUUGAUUUGAAGAAGGGAUUGAAUUCACUAUCAUGUCAUGUCUAGAUUAAGAGAUUUAUAAUGUCGUUUGGUGUUUCUUAAAAUGCAUUCUUUUGACCUAGGCAAUUAAUGUGCUUUAGAAGAAUUAUAGGUCUCAAACUAUGAUUCCCUUUAUAUUUUUUUUGUGUGUGUAUGUGUAUCCAUGAAGAAACAAAUCUGACCUGUUACAUUAUUUGGUUACCGUCAAGAAUCAUAUGUACAAAUAUGUAGCCAUCCCUUUCAUUUUCAAAUGCAUGACAUUUUAUUCUAACUGUUUUCGUUGAAAGUACGUAAUUUUCAUCAUAUAUUUAGCAUUCCUCAUCUGAUGAGUCAUGAGGUCUAAGUGUCUUUUAGAAGUACCAUUCGGUCCUUCAUCGAGAUUGGACUCCAACACCCCCCUUGGAUAAUCUUGUUAUGCACACCAUGAAGAGAGAUGGCUUUUCAUUGAUUGGCCAUGGAGGAUGUGCUUCCUUCAAGGAUCUUGGAAGGAACCAACCAAAGCUUUAAGCUUAUUGUUGUAAGAGCAAAUGGCAUGAGUGAAUGAGUUGAUCAGUGGCAGCGGUGGCUAAUGAGUGAGAUUAAUAUGUGGCCAAAGCUUAGUUAAAAAGGAAAGGCCACCAUUAAAAAAAACAACAAAUAUAAUCCUUAAGGCUAAUAUAGUAUUGAGCUAUCUUCUGAAACUUGGGCUCUCAGUUCCAAACGUCCAGGAAUUUAGUCAUGUUUAAGCCUAAAAGGGUAUAAAGAGAUAAGUUCCAAGAGCAAGAGGCUUAUCUUAAAAUAUCACUUAGGAGCAAAAGCCAAACAUAUCAUCUAUUGGCUUUUCACAUUUCUAACUAUAAUAUACGAGCAAAGCUACUUUACAAAGAAUUUUCUUAUUGUAAAAGCAUGCCUAGAGAUGAGAAAAAGUGGAUAUAGUAUAGUUUAAACACAAGAAAGAGAAUCCAGUCAUCAUAAAUACAUUGACAAGGUACCAGAAAGAGCUUCUUGAAGGAAUAUACCAAAAAAUAUUAAUUCUUAGUGCAACACUUGCUUAGAGAUGUGUGAAAGUAGAACAGAAGAAAGAGAUAUCCAUUCACCAUAAGCAUAGUGACAUGGUACCACAAAAAUUUCUGGAAGACAUUAAGCAAAAAAUAUAUUAAACUGGCUAUGUUGUAUGGCCCAAAAUGCCAGAAAGUAGAUGGCAUCAGUUAAAAAAAAAUAUCAAGGAAAAUAAAUGUUUUUAAGUUUAGAAAGAAUGAGUUCGAGCUGUACAGGUUAAAUUGUUUAGAAGAAGGCGCAUGGCAGCACCUGUGGAGCAUAACAGAAGGCCCAGUAUAGAGAGAGAUGUAUAGUAGUUAUUUCAUGCUUUAGGGGCCCCAGCUAGAAUGAGAAACACCCCAUUUCAAAUUGUAUAGGAUGAAAAACCUGUAACAUUGAUCUCUUCUUACCCUUAAAGCAACAAGCAACUACAAUAGAUAUCUAAAAUAGAAACCUCUGAGGAAAAUGUUUUAACAAGAAUAAAACCAUUUAACUAUGCUGCAUUUUUUGCACAAGUAUAUAUGACAUAUUCUAAUAUUCAACAUUUUGAUUCAUUUGAUCUCUGAAAAGCAGCAAUACCUGGCAUAUAUUCAUAAGAGAUAAAAAGGAUUAUCAUCAAACUACCGACUCAGAAGACACCAUAGAGCAGUAAAUCCAAUGAAAUACAAAUCCAGCUCUGCCAACCACUCCAAAGCAAAUGAAGGCCUCAUCAACCCACAAUAUCACCAAACACAACUUGAAAAUUUUCAUACUGAGAAACAACAACAUUAAUGAAUAGGAAAAGAGUCCUUUUUCAGUUCAACAUUAAACCAAGGGAUAUGAAUACCUCAGUAGAACUUACACUUCGAAGAAAUGAAGAACAACGCCUUUCACACUUCAACCUCUGAUGACGGUUCCCAGACUCUGAUCUCAUCUGUGCAAAUACUAAGCAAAUCAUGCAUCAUCUUCUGCAAGCAGCACAUUAUAUCCAUUAUUGGUAUCUAUUUCAAAAGGUCAAAACAAGAUCAUGUAAACUGAUUGCAGAAUUAGAUAAAAGAAAAGCAGUAGAAAUCUCCUCACUUGACCCUAGCUCUUUUAAUCUUUAAUAUCUAUGAUAUGACAUAUCACUAACAAAAAAAUAAAAAAGAUAGAGAGCAGCAUGAUUAUGGAAACUACCGAGGCAAUUCAUCUAUUUUGGUGGAUGAGCAGGAAAUGUGGAUCCAUUAAAGUCUUUCAUGCCUAAAGUGGAAUAUACUUAGCACAGUACAACUUUUCCGAAGUAAGAUCUUAAGGGCAACCAAAUUGAAAAAAGAUGACUUUUUUUCAUUUGUUUAACUGAGAGGAAGAAAGAGAAGACAUGCCCGCCCAAGGAAAGUUACCCAGGUUCAUAUACCGUAGGAUGCACCACUCAGGACUCAAACUUGGAACCACCCACUAGGAGAGGAAUGUAACCACUAGUGUGCUUUCUGUUCGUAGGAGAAAAAUAUGAAGUCAUCUAGGUUGAUGGUAGGAAUUUUGCUGGAGCUUUAGUUGCUGGAAAUAAAGGCACAUAGACUAAAAGACCAGAAAAGCAUACAUAAUGAGGAAGUAAAAAUGAGGACCUUAAGUGGGUAGGAAAGAUGCAGAAUGGCAUAUAAUUUGAAUGAAAUGGACCAGUUUUGUUCACGAUUAGUCAGUCCAGAAUCAAAACAGUCAGCAAAUCUAAUUUGGAUGAUACUACGAGAAAAUUUUAUUGAUAUCCUCUUUCAAUGUUUUGCAAGACUUAUUGCUCAUAUUGAUUCCUUAACAAACUCCAGCACAAACAAUGCAUUUCAGAGUCAAUAGCAUUUGUCUCAUAUUUAUUUCAGAAUUGAUGGAAAGAAUUUUGUUUUGAACGAAAAGGUGAGAACAACAGGGAGAAAAAAACAACAGCUUUUGCUCAAAAUCGCUACCAAUCAGUCAAAGGUUGUGGUUUGAAACUAACUUGAAAAACAGAUCUUUCAUGGAAGAUACAGCCUACCAAGGCCUCAAUUAUCAGCAUAAUUUUGAGAAUGUGCUGCCCCUCAAAGUGUUAGAGAAAAUGAAGAGUACAAUCAUUGUAAUAUUUUUAAAAAAACCUUCUGGAAGUCACAAAUUGUCAUGUAGGGAAGGCUGAACCUAGGACCUCUACAAGAACAAGAUUAACAACAAAUGUUUACAACCGCAAAUAGUUGAGAUGGUUGUGCUUCUUCCCCUCCUCAAUAUAUGUAUGGACACCUGAAACAUAUCACGAACUAGAUCAAUAACUGGAGAAGAAGCACGUCCAUCUCAGGUUUUAAGGCUAAGAAAUCCAGUUAGGACAUUUGAGCCAUUACAGAGAACUUCAAAGAAGAACAAGAAAAGAAACAAACUAAAAGAAAAGAUAGCGUUUAAAAAAAUAAAAAUAUUGGUGCGGCUCAUUCUAUAUAUGAUCUAACUUCUACAUUCCUGCAAAAGAUUGGGUUAGAUUUAGGACAACUCAAUUCAGAGGCCCAGUAAUUCCCAAAACCACAGCUGUGACAUUAUUAGAUGUUGAGAAAACAGUAAUUAAAAAAAUCGCUUUUAAGAGGCUAAGCAAUCUAAAUUAGGAUUUGAUGUAGUGAAAGAUACGGAAAAAAUGCUCUUCAUGCCUUCCCAGGCAUGCAUGAGAUAGGUAAUAUGCUCCAAACUAAGCAUGCAUAUGCCAAAAUAAGAAGGAAUGAGACAAGAAGAGAAGGUGAAAAGGAGAUGAAAAUAGCCUUAAAAGUGGGCCUUCCCAACAUAAAGUAAUAAUAGUCAUAUAUCAUUGUUUAUUAAUGAACUUUUCUUGACUAAUCUUUCAGUGACUUCAUAUUGACUCUCAGUUUCAUGAUCACAUAAGGGUACAAAAGGAUAAUGGGGCACAUGAUCCAAACUCAACCCAUGUGGAAGUGAGUCCUGAUUUUUGGCCCUAAUUUGAUCCCAUUGGUACAGGUUAGACCAAGGUCGGUGGAACCGUCCCGAACUGGACAGCUCCGCUCGUACCAAGCCAUCCCGGCAAUGGAUCGGGAUGGUUCCGAAAACGGAAACGAAACUGUUGCCGAAGGAGAAAAAACGAGAAGAAAAGAUAGAAAAAGGGNNNNNNNNNNNNNNNNNNNNNNNNNNNNNNNNNNNNNNNNNNNNNNACGAAGACUGAGACGAAGGCGAAGCAGAACCAUGCCGCCGAGCUCUCUAGGAAAUGAGCAUCUUAACGCACCUCUGGAUCCUGCUUGCUUUUUUAGCCGUUGCGGAGGCCCGAUGAAGCUCGUAGACUGUUGCAGACGUUGCAAAUUCUGCCACUCUUUUGGACAAAGCCCUCGCUUGCCCUCCUUUCUCGUGUGAUUCUGAGGGCCGGCACCCGAGCAGCAGAGGAAUGGAUGUAGCCUCCGCUGCUCGGGCAGUCGGCCUCCGCCGGCCCUUCACCGGCCUCCGCCACUCUCCGCCAGUCUCCCUCCCUCUCUUCCCCAUCUCUCUCUUUUCCUCUCUCCCGUUCGCCCUCUCUUCCGCCUCAUCUACUAUGUCGGUACAGGUCCGACAUAGCACGACGCAGUCCCGUACCGACUCGUGCCACCAAGCAACCGGUCCGGUGCCCGGUACCCGCACAGCAGACCAUGGGUCAGACAACAUCCAUCUUUUCUACCUUUUAAUUACCAAAUCAAGAUUGUCACAAACGGAUAUGCUCCAUCAGAUUAGAACUAAUUAGUUAGGUUCCAUGUAAGUAGGAUUGGUUGUGUAUGGGCAUUGUUCGACAAAUGGUUGUGCAGUGAGACCAAAAGGGGGGGAGAUGCCAGAGUGGCAUGAACUUUCCAAGCCCAAGAAACAUCUCCAAGUCCACUUUGAAUCAAGCUGCAGCCUGUUUAUUAAAAAAAGAAGGAAAAGAAAACGAUUCUUUGAAGCUCUCUAUGUCAAAGCAUACUCUCACAUGAGAUCAGAUGGUGUAGAUAAAGAAGUAUUCAUGCCUUAAUUUUAUUAUUGGAUAUUACUCCUGGAAAUGAAAAUUCAAUGCAAAUGUGCAUCAUCCAUACCACAAUCAGAUAAAUAUUUACACAUUCAGUAAAUUUUUUUCCCUAAGAGGAUUGAGAUAAAUAUCAUCUACUCUAUGCCACUAAGUAAAUUUUCUGCAAAAGAAACACAUUAGAGACACAAACAAUUUUAUUCUCAUGCAGCUACCUUCUCUAGGUAUACAAAGAAGAAUCACGAAACAGAUUAAUUGAAAAACAGUACUCUUUUUAGUGCAUUUAGCAAAACUCAUCAAAAUAAGUAACAUAAUACAUAUUUAGUAUAUUGAUACCAUAGUUAUCACUAAACCAUAUGCAUUCAAACAUGGUUCUCUGUGUUUUUAAAUUAAUAAAGAGUGUUGAUACAUUUAUCAUUGGAUCAUACUCCUGGAAGUGAAAAUUCAAUGCAACACAGCUGCAUGUAUGUUAUCUUGAUCUAGUGUCAAAGAAUAUGGGCGAAUGUGCAUCAGCCAUACCACAAGAUAAAUAUUUACACAUCCAGUAUGUUUUCUAAGAGAUUUGAGAUAAAUAUCAUCUACUCCAUGCCACUAAGUAAUUUUUCUGAAUAUGGAACAUAACAGGGAAAAACAAAUAAUACUCUCAUAUCAACUAGCUUCUCUAGGCAUACAAAGAAGAAUCACAAAAUAGAUUAAUUAAAAAAAACUCUUUUUAGUGCAUUUAGCGAACAUCAUCAAAAUAAAUAACAUAAUAUGUGUUUAGUAUAUUGAUACCAUAGUUAUCAUUAAAUUGUAUGCACUCAAAAUGUUUCUCUGUGUUUUUAAAUUAACAAAGAGUUUUGAUACCUUUUGUAGAAGCCUUGCGAUAUAUAUUUUUCCGGCUGUCAUCAUUUUUCCAUUCACUCUCAUCAUCAUCUGCUUCUCCUCUUCUAUCAUUUCCAAUAUCACUUUCACUGGCUGUCUCCCACUCAGAGUCAUCAGCCCGUUCGCCAAAUACAUCUCCAGAAUCACCAUCACAAUGAACUCCCCCAUGCUUUAUAGCUGCUUCUCCGAAUAGCCAUGCAGCACGCAUCUGCUUCUUCACUAACCUUUCAGCAUAAUCAGGAACUUUAUUCUGCCUCAAGGACAGGUCAGGAUCAUUUGACUGAGAACACUCAUUAACGAAUAGAAUAGCAUCUAACAAGCUCUCCUUAGCUAAACCAAGCAUAUCAUAUGCUUGGGCUCUUCUCCACAGGCUUUUGGCAUGAUGAUUAGGAGGGUUAUGAAGGCACAAUGCAUGUGUAGCAUCGCUUAUGGCUGCCAAUGGUUGCUGCAAGAGAAGAUAGCACUGAGCCCUAUUGCUGUACAACACAACUCUCUCUUUUUUUGACUUCACGGGGCACAAUGCCAGUGCUUCGGAGUACUUUGACGCAGCUCCUGCAAUAUUACCGGAAGAAAAUAAAGAAUUCCCUUCCAGCUUAACAACCAGUGCUGCUGCCUGCUUUAUAUGUAGAUCCUCCUUUGGCAUAUUCUUCUCCCAUUUUAAUCUCUGCCUGGAACUCAAAAGUUCAUCAAUCUGUUCUUUCGUAUGGCUACCGCAUGCUGUCCCAAUUGACUGUAUACAUGCUUGAAGAACACUAACAAUACUGUCGCCAAGUCUUUUAUGAUCACCAAGAGUUGAAAUUUCUGCUAAAUCUGUAAGUGCUGGGGCUGCCUUAUCUAUCACCUAUUAAACACCCAAUACAGCGCCCUUCAGAGAAAUACAACAAAUUCUAUGGCUAAAGAACUCUUGAUGUAUUUCUAAUAAAAUCCCCAAUUGGUUAACAGUAUAUGAUGAGUAUUGCUAAUUGUGCUAAUUAAAAAGCCAAUAACUCCACGAGCCUGAACAAGAACUUUUAGAGCAAUAGUAUCUUAAUUUUAACCAGACAUAGAAUUAUCAAUUGUCUACUCUUUUGCACGAUGUUUGCUAUGUCAUUAGUCACAGAAUUUAAGAUGUUGAUCAAAGUGAUCAUGUCUACAAGUUUAGGAAAAGUGUGAGAUAGGACAAAUUUUGUUUAUAAUUGAUCUAUAGAUGAUCUUAUCUGAGUAUAGCUCCUUCAUAAAAUGAACAAAUGCCUAAGAUAGUUGGCAAAUUUUCCACUAGAAUAAUUGGCUAUGGUUAAGUUUGGCAAUGUCAAGAAACCAAGUCAAUUCUUCUGUUUGAAUUGCAGUGUUCUGGAAAUAAAGUGUUGCAUCACCUUACUACUCUUGACGGCCUCAUGGAUGGACGAAAGAAGGGAAGUUACAGAAUUUGGGGUAGUGAAGGCUCGCAAAGUAGCUAGCAAGCCCCCACCCCGUAAGUCCUGUGUUGCCAUAGCGUGCCCUAAUUCAAUAAGGGCUGUUUCUCUUGCUGAUUUUAAAGCUUGCUGGGAGAUGGGAUUCAUUCACAAGCAUUCCUGCUAGCACUACGAAAAGCUCCGGUUUUAACGCCCUUACGGAAGCUGUGCAGUCUUUCCUCAAGUUCAUAGAAUCGGGUUUCCCAUUUACCCACAACAUUCUCAAGCUUGGAACUGUGGACAAAGCUAUUAAAGCUUGUGCUAGAUUUCUCAGACAGCAUCUUCUGGAGGAAGAUGGGGCCUACAGGACUGUCAGUCUGAUGAUUGCUCUAUGCUCCAGUUUCUUCAUGUGAUGAUCUAGAUUAGCUAAUAACUGAAUUUGAAACGUCCAUCAUUGUAAAGUGCCGCUAUUAUGUUAGGGAUUGGUUUCUUUUUGAGGUUAGAACAUGGAAGGUUGUGCAGAUGAUCUUAUCUGCCUGAAAGGAACAACCAGCAUGUAAAGAAAUGAAGCAGAUCUUGCAUUUGUUCGAAUACAGUCCCGUGGAAAGGAGUGGCUUAUGUAUGACGUCAACAUUGUUUUCAUAAUCACAGUGUCUCGUACAUCAACAAACAAGAAAUCUCAUGUGUGAGGGUGUUUAGAAUCUCAAGAUGUGGCUGUAAGGCUAACAGCCUUUACAUAUUCCAUUCCAGGGCAUCAGUUGCCAGAUUCAUUUCUAAUUGCUCUUUGUCCUAACCAUGUUCAGUAGAGGGGGUUGAACACAUAGCGCAGCUUCAUUUGAAAGCUAGAGGAAAAAAUGAUCAGAUGUAGAUAACAUAAAAACAAAUAAUCACCUUAUCAAAUUUCACCAUAGCAGACAGAUGAAGAUGCCAGCUUCCAUUACAAAAAAUGGAUAAGCAAAUAUAAUGAAAGGAACAUACAUAGAUGUAGCAUAUUACCUUAUGGCAGGCACUUGGAUCUUGAAGUAACCAAAGAAGACAAUCAAUAGCCAUGUACUGCCAGUCAUCAGAUGAACGAGCUAUAUUACAUAGCGCGUCAAUGAUACCAGGACAGUUAGCAACAGGACUCCUCCCAAGCUUAUGCUGGCAAAUUGUUCGCAGUAAACCAAUACCUGCUGGGGAGUUCUCAUUGACAAGCCCUCCCCACAUGCCUGGUAAUUUUAUUAAAAAUUCUGGCUUGCAUAUAUCAUGGAGAAACUCAGGCUUGAAAGCAAAGCAGUUAAUGAGCUGAAGAGACCAGCACUGUAACUGACUGGCCCAUUCCUCUGCUUUCCUGGACUCCAUAUCCACACCACCCAUGCCCCGUGUAAGUAGAUCGCAGUGAUAGCUUAGUCUCCUAUCCACAAACUGGUAAAAGUGAGAGUAGACAAUCUCUAGAGAACUUGAUGCCAGCUGAAUGGCAAGCUCAAGGACUUCUCCGUGACUUGCCACUGCAGGGAAUGUACUAGGAUAUGUAGCCAAGUGUCCCAGGGCCCUAACUGCUACCCUUUGCUCCACCCAGGUCAGCCUACCUCGUAAAAGUUCAACUAAGGGAGGAAUGACUCCAGCAUGCACCGCAGUUUCUGCAAACUCUUCCAUAUUCAUGGUGUAAGAUCCGAUUAUAUGAGCUGCAUAGUAGGGGAUGUAUAUGUUCUGGUCGUGUGUAAGCCAACGCUUGUUCUUUAAGCCCUUCCAUAUCAAUGCAGCCAUGCAUUCAAAUAUUCCCAAGUUAAUAAACUCGGAAUCAUUUGGAUGUGCCAUGGCAGUGUUCCAAAGGCCACUGAUCGGGAGAACUUGGCCUUCAUCAUCUUGAGAAGGAAGCUCUCUAAAAAACUUCAGUAUACUUGUUCUUCGUUUGUUUGCAUUUCCCUCCUUCAUGACACAGAAGAAGCAUCCUGGGUAAGGACAGUCAGGUGCAAUGUUAUCCAUGGUGGAAGGACCAACUGUUAGCCUUGGUUCAUUCAUUUUAAUUCCUCAUUGUAUCUGGGUACUCUUAUAGCUGCAACAUUUAACCACAUGAGUUAAUGCAUCAAAUUAUUCAAAUAUGAAUUGAUAUGCAAGUAUUUGGAAAGUAAGAAUAAGACCAUGAUAAUCAGAGAAAUCCUAUUAUGAUUGCAGAACAACUGCAAAGUUGAUUUGUAACAAAGCAGGAGAGUACUUGUAUGCAGUAUAACUUAUGUCUAGUUUGGCAUAUCAAGCUGAAGAGGUUAUUGAAGCAAAUAAAGUUAUAUUGCAUAAAAAGAGUCCUGCAUGGGAAUGUUUUGCAGGAUAAAUGUUCAAGCAACUGCUAAAAUACAAAUGAGGAAGCAUGGAAAAAUGAUUGAGAGUAUUGCAUGUCUCCUCACCAAAAAAGGAUUGAAUUAAGUAUCAUGUGCAAUUACAAAGCAAAGUAUCUAGAUUAUCUACUUCCCUUAGAUAUUCGGAAGCUGCAACAAAUACUGCCGGGCAUUUAGCUUUGUAAACCAUACCGAAGGUCGUACCAACUGGUGACCGGUUUGGUACAACAUGGACUCGUACCAUGCCAUCUUGGAGUGUAUUGAAAACAGGAGGGAGGGAGAGAGGGAGAAAAUGAGAGAGGAAGAGAGAGAGGGAGGGAAGGAGGGGAGGGAAGGAGGGAGGAAGGAGGNNNNNNNNNNNNNNNNNNNNNNNNNNNNNNNNNNNNNNNNNNNNNNNNNNNNNNNNNNNNNNNNNNNNNNNNNNNNNNNNNNNNNNNNNNNNNNNNNNNNNNNNNNNNNNNNNNNNNNNNNNNNNNNNNNNNNNNNNNNNNNNNNNNNNNNNNNNNNNNNNNNNNNNNNNNNNNNNNNNNNNNNNNNNNNNNNNNNNNNNNNNNNNNNNNNNNNNNNNNNNNNNNNNNNNNNNNNNNNNNNNNNNNNNNNNNNNNNNNNNNNNNNNNNNNNNNNNNNNNNNNNNNNNNNNNNNNNNNNNNNNNNNNNNNNNNNNNNNNNNNNNNNNNNNNNNNNNNNNNNNNNNNNNNNNNNNNNNNNNNNNNNNNNNNNNNNNNNNNNNNNNNNNNNNNNNNNNNNNNNNNNNNNNNNNNNNNNNNNNNNNNNNNNNNNNNNNNNNNNNNNNNNNNNNNNNNNNNNNNNNNNNNNNNNNNNNNNNNNNNNNNNNNNNNNNNNNNNNNNNNNNNNNNNNNNNNNNNNNNNNNNNNNNNNNNNNNNNNNNNNNNNNNNNNNNNNNNNNNNNNNNNNNNNNNNNNNNNNNNNNNNNNNNNNNNNNNNNNNNNNNNNNNNNNNNNNNNNNNNNNNNNNNNNNNNNNNNNNNNNNNNNNNNNNNNNNNNNNNNNNNNNNNNNNNNNNNNNNNNNNNNNNNNNNNNNNNNNNNNNNNNNNNNNNNNNNNNNNNNNNNNNNNNNNNNNNNNNNNNNNNNNNNNNNNNNNNNNNNNNNNNNNNNNNNNNNNNNNNNNNNNNNNNNNNNNNNNNNNNNNNNNNNNNNNNNNNNNNNNNNNNNNNNNNNNNNNNNNNNNNNNNNNNNNNNNNNNNNNNNNNNNNNNNNNNNNNNNNNNNNNNNNNNNNNNNNNNNNNNNNNNNNNNNNNNNNNNNNNNNNNNNNNNNNNNNNNNNNNNNNNNNNNNNNNNNNNNNNNNNNNNNNNNNNNNNNNNNNNNNNNNNNNNNNNNNNNNNNNNNNNAGAUAUAAAACUAUAAACUCAUGCAUCGACACAAAUAAAAGUUAACAAUUAAUAUAAAGAUAAAUGUUAACGGUUAAAAUAUAACAACUAUAAGUAUGGAAAGAAAUAAAGAAGUAAUAUAUCUACCUUAAUUAUUAGACAUUCGUUUAAGCCAAAGGAAAUUAAUCAGUGACCCAUAAGCAAUUUCUAACUUCUUAAAGAAAGUUGAGAAGGCAACUAGCCAGAGCAUUGCCUGUAGGUUUCAACUACAAAGAAUAGCAAAAGUUUUGUAAUACAGCUACAGAGAAUAAAGAAAUAAAUUGGUGGCAGAUUCAAAAUCCAAAAAUGUUCUGCUAGUCUUAAAUCAUUGAUGUUCUAACAAUUUAGCUCAAAUAAGGAUGCGUUAAUCAGAAAUCCAGAUGGCCAAAUCCUUAAAUGGUAGAUGUUUCAAAACUCUUUUCCAAAGGUUCUCUUUCAAAUCUUAACUUAUCAAGAUUUGACCAUCAGGGAUUUUCAAGUCUCCAGCUUUUUUGGGGGGUUUGGCCUGGUCUGUUAGAGAAAGGAAAGGAAUAAUGCCUAUUUUUCAAUGCAAACAUAAAUUAAGAAAGAUCACACCAUUUGGAAAUAGAACCUGUGAUCAAGAGAAUGAAUUUUGAUAUACCAUUUCUUCCGUCAUUAAUUUAUUUAAUUUAUUUUUACUCCGCCUUUUCCAAGCCAGUAGUAAGCCAUCAUCUCUGUGCUCACAAUCAAAGAAGGCAACCAAACCCCUUAGGCCCUUACCAUCUCCAAAGGCUUCUCAAAGCAUGGGGGCUGCAGUAGUCCACCUCCCUUCACUACCCAUUCCUCAACGCUUAUCGCAAUAAGCUCUCCCUCGAUCCUUAGUACAACUUAGAAUAAGCUAAGAACCACCCCAUUCCCCCGCUCUCCUACCUACACUACGUUCUCCAUUUCCUUAAGCAAACAGGCACCCCAAGUUACUAUUCUUGGAUUUGAAUAACCCCCCAAAAAGAGGAUCUUUCCUACUCUAAACAAAAGGAAGGGGGAAAACGACAAACCCUAAUCAGAAAAGCAACGAUCCUUUCUCAAAAUAACGCUCAAGACAACUAAAGGAACCAUGCCGAUUAAGUUAUUGGACAAAUAAAAACAGGAAAAUGGAAGAAAAAAAAUGGAAUUUUGAAUACCUCUAUCAACCGAAGCCUAAGCCGAAGGCGAAGCAGAACCAUCCCGCAGAGCUCUCGAGUAAAUGAGCAUCUGGAUUCAAUUAGAAUCCAAAUACAAUGCUAGAUAUUGCGGGAAAAAAAUCUCAGAUUUUUUCGGGAAUUGAGAGCGAAGAAGACAGCAGGAAGAAGGACUGAAGAGGCGACAAGAAGGAGAACAGUGGUUGGGAUUCUAACGGGCCAGAAGACCUCUUGUCGUGUGGCGGCUUGAGAGAGCCUCUCUCGCCCCUCCUCUUGUGAAUUAAAGAGAAAGAAAAGCCUCCGGAUCCUGCUUGCUUUUUUAGCCGUUGGGCUGUCCCCUACCAAGAGGACGAAGCUUGUGUAUACUGUUGCAAGUGCUGCUACUCUUUUAGAGAAAGCUCUCUCCUUUUCUCCGCCCUCCCUCGCCACCCCCUUCUCUCUCUCUCUCUCUCUCUCUCUCUCUCAGAAGCUCCCUCCUGGGCUUCCUCUCUCCGUGCACGUUGGAUCCAGCGUAAAUCUUAGAUUUCUUUUUCCUACUGUGGAUUUUAUUUAUUAACUAUGGCAUCCAUUGAUACUAUUUUACAUUAUCUUCUUUCCUACUAUUUGUUUUAAGAGAAUUUUAUUUUAUUGCUUAACAUAAGGGGCAAUGGUUACUUACAGAGGGCAAAAUUCCUCUGGAUACUGUUGUAUUCAUUAUCUUGGAAGGGCCUUUGAUACCAAAAUUUGGAUGAGAAACAAGAGCCUAAUGUUGGCCUAUUAUGAUUGUUUCAAGGCCCUUGUUAUGCUAUAUGUACAAGUAAUAUAUAUUCAAAAAGAUUUUUAGCUGUAUUUUGCUGGAGUAGAUGCUUAGUUAAGAAAGGAGCUACUCAUUUGAGAUCAUUCCUGGUUGGAUUUUUUCAAAAAUUCCAGCGUCCAUACUAGUUAAAUAAUGUCAUUACCUUAUUUGUUUAUAAUUUUUAAUUAUAAUGGCUAAAGUUGAUUUGUAAAAGCUAUCACUUCAUUCUCAUAAAAUUCUUUCUAGAGCUAAAAUAGGCAAAUAGCAUGCAAUUGUCUAUAUUNNNNNNNNNNNNNNNNNNNNNNNNNNNNNNNNNNNNNNNNNNNNNNNNNNNNNNNNNNNNNNNNNNNNNNNNNNNNNNNNNNNNNNNNNNNNNNNNNNNNNNNNNNNNNNNNNNNNNNNNNNNNNNNNNNNNNNNNNNNNNNNNNNNNNNNNNNNNNNNNNNNNNNNNNNNNNNNNNNNNNNNNNNNNNNNNNNNNNNNNNNNNNNNNNNNNNNNNNNNNNNNNNNNNNNNNNNNNNNNNNNNNNNNNNNNNNNNNNNNNNNNNNNNNNNNNNNNNNNNNNNNNNNNNNNNNNNNNNNNNNNNNNNNNNNNNNNNNNNNNNNNNNNNNNNNNNNNNNNNNNNNNNNNNNNNNNNNNNNNNNNNNNNNNNNNNNNNNNNNNNNNNNNNNNNNNNNNNNNNNNNNNNNNNNNNNNNNNNNNNNNNNNNNNNNNNNNNNNNNNNNNNNNNNNNNNNNNNNNNNNNNNNNNNNNNNNNNNNNNNNNNNNNNNNNNNNNNNNNNNNNNNNNNNNNNNNNNNNNNNNNNNNNNNNNNNNNNNNNNNNNNNNNNNNNNNNNNNNNNNNNNNNNNNNNNNNNNNNNNNNNNNNNNNNNNNNNNNNNNNNNNNNNNNNNNNNNNNNNNNNNNNNNNNNNNNNNNNNNNNNNNNNNNNNNNNNNNNNNNNNNNNNNNNNNNNNNNNNNNNNNNNNNNNNNNNNNNNNNNNNNNNNNNNNNNNNNNNNNNNNNNNNNNNNNNNNNNNNNNNNNNNNNNNNNNNNNNNNNNNNNNNNNNNNNNNNNNNNNNNNNNNNNNNNNNNNNNNNNNNNNNNNNNNNNNNNNNNNNNNNNNNNNNNNNNNNNNNNNNNNNNNNNNNNNNNNNNNNNNNNNNNNNNNNNNNNNNNNNNNNNNNNNNNNNNNNNNNNNNNNNNNNNNNNNNNNNNNNNNNNNNNNNNNNNNNNNNNNNNNNNNNNNNNNNNNNNNNNNNNNNNNNNNNNNNNNNNNNNNNNNNNNGAAAUGCAAAGGUCAAUGUGGUAAUUCUACUUCUUGUUUUAUACAGCUCUCUUCACUUCUCAAUCAUCUUUGUUUAGUUCAAUUUCAAUUAGCCUUCACUAGGCACCAUAGGAUAGCUAAACCAAGUAUUAUCCAAAGAGUUCAUUAUCCAACGAAUUCGGAUCCUCUACGAUACAACUUUUGUACCAUAAAGUAUUGUACCAUUGUGGAUAGCUGCCAGAUUAUUCAUUACGGAGAUGGAUAGUUCUCAUUCCUCCCAGAAAUAUGAUUGGAUACUUUCAGCUCGACACUCAAGGAUGCAAAACUUGAAACACCCUCAGGAGACUAUAUCUCUAGUUUCCUUCUUGUUAUAUUAUCGUAACAACUGGAGAUUCAAUGUUAUUGCUAGUUAAUGAUAGAUUUGAUAUUUAGUUAUUUGGUAGCAACUAGCAACUAUAAGGCAACAAAAAUGGGCUGUUGGCUGGAUAUAGUGGCGGUCAAUAAUUCUAAUCCCUUCAUUUCAACUUUCCCAGAUAGGCAAGGCCAGGCAAAAUUUUGCGACACUCGAGUGAAAGCCCUUAUCCCACCUUCCAACCCGACAAAGCUAGAAAUUGAUUCUAACUGCCAAGAGACAUAUCACUAGGCUAGCUGGCACCCACAAGGUGUGUGCUUCAAGUUGGUAUAUGUGGGUCCAAGCCAGCUAGAUAAGUGCCCCGCUUGAGCUAUGUCCGUCCACUUAAUGGACCCAUCCCACUAAAGUUUCCAUGCACAGAAAUUCGAUGUACCUUCUUCUUUCUUAAGUUCCAUCAGCACACCUUCGGAGGUGAAACUUUUUCUGGUAUUCCAACAUCUCGAGCUGACGCAGAGCCCAAAAAAUUUGGGUUUGCUAGGUUACAAAUCAAGCCAUUUGGGACCAGGUACUAGAAAUGUCCCUGCGAUCCGGUCCAACGAUUAGAUCCACAAAGGAAUACAAGGGGUGUGACCUCUAAGAAGGUAAGAACAUUAAAAUUAGGUGAAUAUUAUAACGUUAGUGUUUGGAUGAUUCUUUCGACUAGGGGCCUAGUGUCAUAGUCCUCAUAUUGGCUAAUAAAAAAAUAUCAUAUAGUUUUAUUGGUCUAGCUGGUCUUCCUCCGAACAGCUUAAGCUUUUAAAUUGAAAGUCCAUGAUAAAUGGCAUCAGAGCCAAAUCCAUCAUACGUCCCAAUCUUUAUUAAUCAUAUAGGUAUCUUGCUAGAGAAUAUUAGGAUCGAGAAGGACUUAGUAGGGUCAACUAGGACUCAGCCCAUGAGCGGGCCUUUUCUCUUUCGAGUCUGAGCUAAUCAUAAUGAGAGUGUCAUAAAGUUGAGUGGGAAAGAUUAUCAUAGUCCUACACCGAUUAAUAAAAGAGAUGUCAGCCUAAUCCGUUUUUCCUUCCAAUAACUUAAGCUUUUGGGCUGCAAGUUCUUUAAUACUAAGCUUCGGCCUAGUUGGUUUAGGUCAAGUAUAAGCUCUCAUCCACCUGAGAGGGUACAUAGCCCAGAGGUUGGCGGAAGAACAAGCUAUUGAAGAUCUUUUCUCUUCUAUCAUGGGAUACCAUAACUGUGUUGAACACCUAAUCUCUUAUAUAUACCCAAGAGGGUGCCGCCAUUAUUCUAAAGCUCGGUUGGCUCUGGCCAGAGAAUAUGCUUGAUCAUAAAACGAAGGGAGUUUUUUCGCUUUUCCCUGCUUUCCUUUAACACUAAAUGCCAGAGUAGGGCUCAAAAAAAAUGGGCGAAGAGCAAAACAAAGGAGGGUACACUGCUGCCACAAACAAAAUUGUCGCUGUAGCCUGCUGGAAAAUUUGGCAGCAAUUGAACCUUUUGGGGAGGCGGCUGUGAAAAAUGGUGUGACAAAGAGCCUUUUUGACAGCAAUAAUGCUGAAAAUAUCGAUCAAAUAUUAAUAUAUCUAUAUUUCUAUUUAUUUUAUUUGAUGAGUAUAGAUAAAAAUAUUAGACAAAUAUAAAAAUUUAUAUUUAUAAUUAUUUUAAAUAUAUAUAGAUACAAAUUGAAUACCAAAUAUAUAUAUAUAUAUAUAUAUGGAUAUAAUUCAAAUAAUUAAACUUUAUAACCAUAUAAUCAAAAAUAUUACUAAGUUGGAUGAUAAAUCAAGUUAAUAGCAUAUUAAGAUGAUCAUUUUUUUUUAAGAAAAAUUAUGACUGUUAUAUAAAAUAAAAUAGGAUUAUAAAUAGAAUUUGAUAUUUGGAUGUGAAUCGGAUAGUUGUUUAUCUAUAUACAUAUCUUUUUUUUUACGUAUAUGAUAGAAAUACGGAUAUUAAUCUAAUGCUCGAAUUUCUGUCUAUAUUCAGAUAUGAAAAUUGAAUAGUUAUUUUCGGAUUCACUUUCACCUCUAAACUAUGGCUAUCUUUACCGCAGUAAAUCCUCAAAAAAUCAUUGCUAAAUUACUCCUGCUGUUACUAAUGAGAAAAAUAUACAUGAUCCGCCUUCAGAUUAUCGAGUUGCCAAAGAAAUUGAAACGAGGGACAAUAUUUUGAAACAAUCCAUGUUUUACAUCAUGAAAGCCGAUAAACAUGAGAACAUGGUUUUAAAAAAGUAUAUACUAUACAUAAAGGAUUACAUGAGAUUUGAGCUGAAAGUUUUUUAAGUUCUCAGCUGGUUCGGCUGCGCACUUCAACGACAAACUCUGGUGAUGUCACAGGCUAAGUAGCAGCUUGGAUCCAGCCCAGGUAAGACCAAGUUGGAGUCUUGAACCGGUUUGUGAUCUCAGUUAGAUCCAUGUUAGACCUAGUUUCUGGACAUGCCAGGUGGCUGGGGUCUAAUUUUGGGAUUCCAGAUUGAAGAUUUUAAUUAGUUUUUGUUGGCUUGAGUGGUUCUUGGUUUACCAAUUGAUGGACUCUGCUACCCAACCCAUCCUAGGGGUUGUUUGGUUUCCUGCUAUUGGCAGGCUAUAAUUUCAGUUGGCAGCAACUCCAAGACUUGCAAUUAGAACUGCAACUUUAUCAGGCUAACUUAAGUUGAGCUAAGGAUGAGAAAUUUACCCUAAUUUCAUAUUUAUUUAGGUUUUCUUAGAUGUGAGAACAUCCCAACCCUAAUCCGAAUUCAUAUGAGAAGCCUACAAAGCCAAGCCAUACUGAAUAUAAUAAUCUCUAUAGCCAACUAAACCCAAAACUAGCAACAACUUAAGCCCAGACAUCCUGAACAUAAUAAGCUCUUAUCCAACUUAAGGAGAACCAAACAAUUUACUGUCUAACUGAUGGGUUCAUCUUUUGGUAAUUGGCUUAAUUCUCUGCUUGAUUCUAGUUAGGUUAGUUAUUUUGCUGCCCAAAUUAAGCUUAGAUUGAAGUUUUUCUUUUUCCCCCCUUAGAAAAGCUUGGAUUGGAGAACUUGUAUGAUGCUGAAAGCUUGGAUUCCACCUUAUACUUAGCAAGCCCAGCUCUUGUUCUCGAGGUUAAGGCAUACAAUCUCAUGUCAGACUGAUCCAUACAAAAAAAAAGUAAGGAGGGUCAAAUACCACAAUAAAUUGGAAACUGGUUGCUGACUUAAGCUCCGUUCGAUAGAACUGUUUGCAGUAGAACUUUUAUAAAAAAAUAUUUGUUGUUUUUUAACUACAUUUCUAAAAUGCUAUGAAACUUUAAUAUAUGUUUAGCUAACAAAAUAAGAAAAUAUUUUUGGUAUGACAAAAUAACUGUAAAGGAUAUUGCAUAGUAUUAUACAGCAAAGUAUAAUAAAACAUAAUAUAUAUUAAUACAUAAAUAUAUGAUAUAGUAUAAUAUUAUUAUAACAUACUAUAAUAUUAUUAUAAUAUUGUAUAUUAUAUCAUAAUAAUAUAACAUUAUUUGAUAUUAUAUAACAUAACAUAUUAGUGUAUUAUGAUAUAAUGUAAUAUAAUAUUAUAUUUAUAGUAUAAUAUAAUAAUAAUAAUAAUAUAAAAUAUUAUAAUUAUUAUCAUUAUAUAUUAAUAAAUAUAAAGGGACAUUUCUUAUAAUUAUAAUAUUUUAUUAUGGUAUUUUGGUCCAAAAAAAAUUAUAAAUCGAAAUAGCUUUCCAAUUCAUGCUAGAAGUACUUUUUUGAAGAGGUUUUAUUUUUGAAGUUUCUCCUAAUAAGCUGUUUUAGCUUUAUCAAAAAGCUAAAAUAACUUUCCAAUUUUUUUUAUUAAACAUCUCUAUUCCAUCCAAAAGUAUUUCCAAAAAUACUUUUGAAUGGUCAGAAAGUGCUUUUUGGCCUACCAAAAGCUCUGCCAAAUGGAGCCUUAGACCAACACUCAAAAGGUCAACUUGAGUACAGCACCAUGUACACACCAUGCCCAAUUUUUUUUCCCCAGAAAAAUUCUUUCUAAUUACCACCGGCAUUCUUCAAGCCCGGCAAGCCAGAUAUACGCUGAGGUGGAAACUAUGUAGUUUUAUAGCCGACGAGAUUGGACGAGAGGUCAAGCAUCUAUUGUUGACAGUUGACUUGUUCUUAUUGUCAAAAAAGCCUAUUGUCUUAUUGUUUGACAAAGAAACCGUGUCACUGUUGACUCAGACACUGAUGGAUUUUUUGUUAAGUCAUGAAAAUAAUCAGUCAUAUAGUCAAAGUGGACUAAUCUUUCUGGCCGUGUGAGUGCUAGUUGCACUAAUCAAAGCUAGUGGGCUAGAGCCUUCCAAGUUAAGACUUCAUGUCUUCUAACCAAAUAAGAAAAAACACCAAAUCCAAGUCAUGAUUGUGUCCAUAGCACCAGCCGCUGGAAAUGCUUUUGCAAUGGGAGGGAAUAAGGAUAUUAGUUUUAAUUUCCAUUGUCAUAUACAAGGCUGCCAUACUAAGCUAUAGAGGAGAAGAAACUACCAUCAUUCAUCAAUGCAAGGCCAAAUAUAUUAUAAAAAAAAGCUUGCACUAGAUUUAAUCCCUGUGUGAUUGGAAUUAGAGAUGUAUGCUAGGAUGAUGAUGUUUAUGGCUCUGUCAGAUUGAUGUGCUAAAAUUGAAUCAUGCUCAACCGAUAUUUUGAUAAUUCAUUGAUAUUAUCUGAACUUUGCUUAGCGGCAGAGGUCGAUGAAAUCAUUAGGCAGGGAUAUAUCACAAAAAUUAAAGGGGGUGUUACUGAUAACGCUGAUGAUCUUGUCCAUCUUUUUUUUUAUUCUAUGUUCCCUUCUAGAUCUCAUAGGGUCACAGUUGAUCAUGUUGCAGAAGACUCGUAUACACAAGUAGGAAAUGGUUAGGCUCAGAUCCACUAAACCAAAAUGAGUUGCUUGCCUUAUGGUGCUGAAACGGAAUCCAUGGCAUGGCGACGCACCGAAAGGAGCCCGACACAUGUGAAAUAGAUUUGAUGUUAGGCAUGAAUUGAUCAAAUCUUGUGAUAUGAUAAAUGUAGGUCAGCUGUCACUUAAUCUUGACUUAAAUGAACCUUUAUACCAUCUUACUCCUCUCAAAGUUCAUGAGAUACUUAGAAGCGUGCAUUGAAUGUUGGAUCACCACACACAUGAAUGGAACAUGAGCUCUGAAGGAUUGUGGAAUGGGCAUGUAUUUAUUAAGCUGACACAAUUUAUUUCUAAGAUGAUUUAUGGUACCUAAAAAUCAAAGAACACAAAGAUUAGUGGCUUGUUUAGCUUCUUCCUUCCUCUUUUUAUUUCACUUUGAGUUGUAUUGUAGAGGGUAUGAAUAUAGGUCAGUGCUAAUAUUACUACUAAUAACCGUCUUAAGCAACCAUCAAAGAAUAUGGCUCGUGUGCCAAAAUUUUUGCUUAUGGAGUGCUUUUCACAAAUGUACAUGGACCUUCACCCCCUAAUCACUAGUUGUGAGAGUUCUUUACAAUUUUAGCUUUUCUUUAUAAUCCUAUGUUUUGAAAUGAUUGGAAAUUUUGAUUCCAAACCCGUGACUCCAUCAGCUUCUUCUACCCUCCUUGGGGUUGUUUGCAUGCUUGGGUUUCAGUUCCUAUCUUUCGUAGGGCGAGAAGAGGUAAAGAGGUGGUGCUAGAAAAAUGAAUUGACAGAACAGAAAGGCACCUCUUAUUUUAUAAUCCGACAUCUAUCCAUCCAUUUAUCUAUCUAGCCAAAUCCAAAUACAUUAAAAAUCAACAAUUUUGAUUGAAGCAAUCUCUCUCAACCCUCUUAUACGUGGACACCAUCUUUUUUUUCAAAUGCUUAUUAAGCGCACUUAAGUCCACUCACUUAGUGCUCUCAAUUCUCUUCUGUAAUUUGAAGUUAUUCAGAUAGAUAAGAAAAGUUGUUAUAAUCAAUGAAAAAUAUGAUCUAUUUUUUUAUUUAUAGAUGUGAAAGGAUAAAUAUGAUUAACUGCUUCAGCAUUAUGUCAUUGAAUGCAUUUCUUAACAUAAUCCAUCCAUUCAUAAAAAAUUAUGUCACCGGAAUAUCUUUCAUCUACGUAAAUUUCUCGAAAAAUCUGUUUGCGCAUCUCUAUGCUCUUUUUUAAGAUACUGCAGUUGUGUUAGUAGAAUUUACAUAAAAUUUUAAGAUAGAACAGGAGAUAGAGAUAAAAAAAAAAUAGGAAAGUAAAUUAUUUAGAGAUUUGAGAUAAAUUUUUAUAUUUAAUCAGAUUUAUAUUUUGAUAAAUAUCUAAUAUAAAAUUUUAAAAUCUCCUGAGGCAUCCAAACGCACAGUGGAUUCAUCUCCCAUUCUCCCUUUCUCCAUUCCCCUUUUCCUUGAGAGCGCGUGAUCGAUUUCGGUUUGCAUGGAGAAAAUCUAAGGGGCAGUUCGGGCAUUAAAUGGCUCGUUUUGUGUCGGUGAGUAGCACCGGCAGCCAUCAAGGUUGUGAAGCUUGCAGGUCCACCCCUCGAAUAACGACACCAUGGCCCCCACAUAACUUGAUCAACAUGACCCCUGUUUCUAGCCUGGAAGAANNNNNNNNNNNNNNNNNNNNNNNNNNNNNNNNNNNNNNNNNNNNNNNNNNNNNNNNNNNNNNNNNNNNNNNNNNNNNNNNNNNNNNNNNNNNNNNNNNNNNNNNNNNNNNNNNNNNNNNNNNNNNNNNNNNNNNNNNNNNNNNNNNNNNNNNNNNNNNNNNNNNNNNNNNNNNNNNNNNNNNNNNNNNNNNNNNNNNNNNNNNNNNNNNNNNNNNNNNNNNNNNNNNNNNNNNNNNNNNNNNNNNNNNNNNNNNNNNNNNNNNNNNNNNNNNNNNNNNNNNNNNNNNNNNNNNNNNNNNNNNNNNAUUAGAGAACCAUGGUUUAUUAUUUGCUUCAUCAAUUGAUGUAGUCCACCUAACUAAUUUUGCUAGAAAGGGCCUUGCCAAGGUUGACAAUUGUAUUCUUUCUUCCUCGUAGUUUGCCGAUGGUCUGCUCCAGAUAUAUCGAGGAGAUAGUUUCGUCAAAUAACACGCCGGGAAAACGGAUGAAUAGGCGGAUAUGUUGAAAUUUUGACCAAAUUGGGAUCAACAAUGGCUUCUCAUUUUUGGGUGUUUGGGCAUAUCAGAGAAAGCACGAACGAUCAUGAUAUUUUGUUUCAUUAAUCUUUUUAGUAUUUAUCCAUUGCGAUAAACAUUGCUUUCAAAUUGUGUGCUAACUAUACUUAUUUACAUAUUCUAUGAAAGUUUGCAAGCGAACCAAGAAAGAUAUUGAUAUCUCGAACCACUUCAUUUCUCUACUUGGAGCACAAGGAGUGGGGGACUAUGUAGUUUGUAUUAACGUUCACAUAGAGUUGGUGCCUAGAGUCUAGAAUGAAGUGGCAUGGUGAAGAUUUUCUAAUCAAGAAUGUUGUACUUAUAAAUGGCAAGAGGUAUUGAGAUGGUGAUAAAUAAUGUGGAUGAUAAAAUGAAUGCAAAAUCAUUAUUAGAGAAAAAGCUUGACGCUUGAUUUGGCUAAUAACCAAUUUAAUACCUGAUCAUAUUUUCAUGGUGCAAUCUUCUUGCAUACGGCUUUUUUUUUGGCUGUAUAUAACAAUAUGGAACUUAUGGCAAUUUUAUAGUCUAGGUGUUUGCAAUUUAAUUGUUGGUGCAUGAGACCAGUUCGAGAUUUUUUUUUUUUUCGCAGGAGGAGAAAACCCUAAUCUAUCUACCAGAUAUAAAGUAAUUCUUAGGAUUGGCCAUGUAAAAUCAGACUGCAACAGUGAAGCUUCAUGAGAUUCCCUUAUAAUCCACUCCACCGUUGUUUUAUUUCCCUCCUCCACGCAAGUUUUAUGGAAAUCAAAAUCCAUCCUUUAUUUUUUCUAUACUAAUCAUGUGCAUGUCAUAUUUAAAAUACUGGCAUAAUUAAUAGAAAACACUCUCAGAAAAUUAGCUCAAAAUGUAAGGCCUAGCAUGUACUAUCGAUCCAUUUCUCACUAGUUUAAAUUGUUAGGUUUAAUAGAAGGAUCUGGUUCACCAAUGUCUAUUUCAUGUAAUCAUUUCGUUCCAACAACAAAAAAAAUCAUUUCAUCAAUUCCCUAAGGUCCUUUUUGUAAAAAAAGCCCUUCAAUGAUUAGCUUUGCCAAUGCCAAUAACAAAAAAUUGUAUAAUUCUUGGAAUCUAUCAAUGCAUGACAUCAGACACAACCAAACAUUGCCAAAAAAUAGUUUUGUUUUAUUGAUCCCCUUACCCUAUUUUUGCUCCCAUUACAAUUUCACAACACUAUGUUCCUCCUCCCUUGCCCUCACAUUAAGAAAUAAGAAUUCUUCCCAAAAUGUCUCCCACCUUGUAAAAUUUGCUUAUUCCCAAAUACCCCUAUCAUUUUUACCAGAUGAGAUAACCCAACUCACUACCCAAAACUAUAAAAACCGGGAUCUCCCAAAGCCACUAUACUGCCGACAUCACGAUCAUUUCCAAAAUACCCCUACUUUAUUCCCAAUCUGCCUUCAUAACACUGAUCAGCUUCACUCCAUACAUCAUUUAAGUUUUAAACUAAAUUAAAAAAUUCAAACAGCAGAAAAAAUAAAAGUUUCCCAACCCUGCCCCCACCAGCGAGAUUCUCCCACCGGCUAAAAGUCUACAAUAUAAUAGAAACAUUAUUCCUCUUCCCAUUAUGCCCUCUCCUCGUUCCCAAAAUGCCCCAAUAUAUAUAUUUUUUAUUUUUUUAGCUUUUUUUCCCGUCUUCUCCCCCGUCGUUGAGGUAGGUCUUCUUCCGGCGCUCUGCCCGCGCGCACGCGCAGAUCACGAGGAAGCACGCGGCGUAGACCGCGUGGACCCGCCAGUUGGCCCGCGGGGGAUCUCCAGUCACCGCCCGGUGGAACACCGCCGCGUAGUAGUGCAUCCCCACCGCCAGCCCGACCAGCAUCUGCGCCAGCCCAAACACCCUCGCCCCGGCACCCGCCCCCUCACCGGCGGAGAACACCACCACUAAAUUGAUCAGCUGCACCACCAAGUAUAGCAAAUACCCGAACGUCUGCGCCGCCUGCGUCCACGCGUACGACGACGGCGACGUCGCGUAGAAAAAUCUCAGCGGCUCGAGUCCGGUCACGAGGGCGGUGACCGCGAGCGUCGCGAAGUAGAUGGCGAGGUAGGCCUGGAUGAAGACGAGGAGCCGGUGGAGGGAGAGGUAAGAGCGGAGGCGGCGGAAGAGCGCGGUGACGAGAAGCAGGGGCAGAACGAGAAAUAGAACGGAGGCGAUGGAGGCUAUUUUGGGAGCGAAACUUUUUCCCACAAAGGGCUUGACGCCCUCGGCGAUCUCGCGGUUGGCGCGGGAGAGGUAGGCCUUCGAGGUGGUGGAGAGGCGCUGGAGGUCGGGGAAGAGGGAUUGUUGGAGGCGGGUCGGGAGGUCGCGGAACUCGGCGAUGAGGUCGUCGCCCUCGUCGCCGGCGAGCCAGGGUUCUGGUUUGGCGGUGGCGGACUUCGGCUUCGGCUUUGGUUUGGAAUUCUUCUCGCCGGCGGUGGCCGGUUUGGAGGUGGCGGUCUUGUUCCUGGGAACGGGUGGAUCUAGGAUUUUCUUGGAAGAUUUGGUGGAAUUGGAGGAUAAUUUGAGCGAUUUGAGCUCGGAUUUGGCGGAAUUGGUAGAGUUGGAUUUGGUCAGUUUGGUGGGUUUGACGAGCUUGGUGGAAUUGGAGGUUUUGGGGGUGGAGGUGAGAGUUUUAUUGAGCUUGGAUUUCGGGGUGGCGGCGGUGGAAAUGGUGGUGGUGGAGUUGGUUUUCUUGGGUUUGAUGAGUUUGGUUUGGUUUUUGGUCCCCAAGAUAGGUUUUUUCUUGGAAAGGAGGGGUUUUGAGGCCGGUUCCUCCUCACCCUCCAUGGAGAUGAACUUUCUUCUGCUCAGAAGCUGCGAUUUUUGGAGUUGGGAAGCAGGGGCCGAGAAAGAAAUGGAGAAACUGAGGUGGAGGAAGAGGAGAAAGAGUAGAAGGAUAGUGGGAGAGAGCAGAGAAGCCAUUGGCAGAUCUAAAGUUUGGAUUUCGGUAAAUUAGACUAGCUAAAGUUUGGAUUUUUAAGAAGCAGGGAAGGGGGGGAGGGAUUGGGAGCAGAGUGGAAGAGAGAGGUAUUUAAUGGGAAUGGAACCGCCACAAAUUGUUGACAGGAGAGGAAGGGAGAGAAAGGUCGCAAGGUCACAUGGAGGCAAUGUGGAGACAAAGGGGGAGGGUCAGGGGAGUCAAGCCGGUAGGAGUGUAAGCAUAGUAGAUCCAUUAUUGUUAUAGGCAGAAUAAUAGUACAAAAAGUUUCCAACCUUUGUUGUAACAGAGUUUGAUAAAUGGUUCCAUCUUUUCUAGUAGAUGCAUUCCCACCUAUUUUAUUUAUCUCUCUCACCUACUGAGUAAUGCUUUUAUGAAUCACUUGACUUGGUUUUGCAAGUGUUGGCCAGUGCUCCUUUCUUUAUGAAUCACCUAAGUUAGUUUUGCAAGUGUUGGCCAGUGCUCCUUUCUUUAUAAUCUUUCUUGGUAGAUGGAUGAGCUUUUAUUGGUGUGGCUUCCUGUGCUACCUGGUUGCUAUGCAAUCGCGUGAAACAUGGGAUGGAUUUUCUUUGAACUUGUCUUGCAGGAGUUAAUGUUUGAAAGUGAGUAAAAAGACCUUUUUAUUCAUUGGUUUCUGAUGCUUAGAUAAGUCGAUAUUAAUGCUUUGGUCCAAAGCUUCUUAGUUUCACAUUUUGCAUUUGGGAGUUGGUCUUGGUAAAAUCCUCAAAUAAGGUGAAAUUUUUUUUGCUUCUCCUUCUAUGCUUGCUCUGCCUUUAAGAAUUACAGCAUGACUCCUGAACACAUGGAACCAUCAAAGACCAGCAAUCCUUGUGGUUUUCAUCCUAGCUACCUUUUCUGGUCCCACAGUGGGAAGGAUUACUUUUACCUUUCUUUUUAAUUUGAAGGUUGAAAAAUAGACCUAUCACCUAUGUACUUUGUAAUUUAGACUUGAUGGUGGAAAGUUAUAUUAAUAUGCUUACUGUACUAGGUGACUAUUGAAGGUUGGGUCCUUUGUUUUAGGGCAGGCAGCUCUAAUCUUAUUUUACUAUCAUGACAUAUAAUGGUAGAUCUAUGACCGUUUCUUCUUUUGUUAUUAAAAAAAAAAAACCCUACAGUUCUGGCGGUAUAUUUAGGUCUUGAUAUCUGUUCUUAUUGACACCAUUUACACUAUUAAAAUGUUCACUAUAUAAUGUUGCAAUGUAACUCUUGCAGUAUGGUAAUAUAGCGACAAUACAUUGCCUAUUUAAGAACCUAAGUUUUGAAUCCUGGCUAUGUCAUGCCACUGUUAAUCUUCUUGUGUUUGCAAGUGUUGAAGGUAGAGUUCUUGCUUUCCAUGUAUUUUUCGGCUAAAAAUGAAACCAACAUGCAUGAUACAUGUGACAUAAGCUAUUUGCCUUGCAUACAGUCGAUGGUAACAGCAUGAUGCUGCUAGCUUGAUUGCAUCUAGCCUUCUCCUUUGCUACUAAGAUACCUUUCUUUAUCUAGUCUUUUUUCAGUGAUUAACUUCUUUUCCUUUCGCGCAGAUAUUAGAGGCAACAAUCUGCACUUCUGGUGGAAGCAUGAUAGACAAGUAGGUAAAAAAUGGGAAAAAAAAUGGACUUCAUGUAUCUUGAGAGUAGUUGACCCUGUAAUUUGUUCUUAUACAUUCUUGUUGAAAACCAAGGAUUUCUCUACAGACAAUGCAGAGGCCUCUAGUCUUAUUAGACAAAUUUGGUUAAUGUCCACAAUCUUGAUUUCACUUGCUUGGUUUUCUCCUUGAGCUGGAAAUCCCUGAAAACUCCCCUGAAGUCUUCUUUUGGAGGAGUAAAAAUUCUAUCUUUAACCACAACAAUUCCUUUGACGGUUUUUAACUUUGUUUCAACCAACAGAGGACUGAUCCUUGAAUGAUCAGAGUCUGUAAUGGAUGUAAUAGAUUUAUGUGUUGACUGUUGUCAAGGCCACUAAAGACUGAUUUUAGGUAUGAGCCCGUGAACCUUUAUAGGUACUGUACGGUUAAAAGGUUAUUGACCAUUUUUAAGGACAAACAUUGAGAAAAAUUUUAAGUUGUGCAGGAAAAGAAAAUGUUAGUAUCAGGAAAAAAAAGUCCAGCAGCUGAGAAGCAGAUAGCAAUAAUUUUGUUACCCAAAAAGUGGAGGUGGCAAAGAGAACUUUUAUUAACUUGUCAAAAGAAGGCCAUGAGGACCACUUCUUAUGAAGCCUUGUGACAUACUAGUGGUUACUGUCCUCCAGUUGCGCCUUCCAGAAGAUCUUUAUCAAAGAAAUUCUGUUUUUGAGAAAAUGCUAUUUAGUUUUCAAUUAGAGUUAUAUUAUAGUUAAGAAUGGUGAAGCAUCUUGGUUAGAAUUGUCUCAACAGUAUAGCCUGCACUAGCACAGUGAUUUAGGCUCAUGCCAUGCGAAUCCCCUUCUAUCUCUGGGUCUCUUUUUUGUUUUCCUAGUAUGAGAGAUCCUAUUUGUAUCUAGAACUAGGAAAGACAUUAUCCAUGCAGUUAUUCUGGUUCUUGAUCCAUCAUAGGCAAUUUGUAUGCCUCAAAAUUUAGAAAGCACACAAAGUUGACAUAGGUGGAACAAUUGACUUGGUGCCUCUAACUGAAUGAAGCCACAUAGGCCGAACAGCUUCCUUGUGUUUUAGAAAAUAACAGCAAACCUCUAGGUUUUUUUAAUAUAAAAAAAACUUAAAAUGAUGCUAUAUCAGUUCAAAUAUCCACGUAUUAGUUUGAUACCAAAUGUCACUACUUCCUGUCAGAUGAAACACUGUUAACAUGUGCAUGUGUUAAUAUUGCAGAAAUGAGGAAAUAGGUCCUAAGGACUAUGGGGAUAUAUGCUAAUGGGAUGUGCCUUGACGAUGUCACAGAGUUUUUGAAUGCUGGUAUACUAGUUAUCUUGGCAAACAAAUAUCAAGAUGAACAAGUAUGCAAGUAUAUUGGUUUAUCUCAGUUGAAAUGACAGUUUUGAGGAUUUUUCAGAUGUAUCAGUAGUAUUACAAGAACAAUAGCAUGGGUUCGAAUCCUUGGACAGCCACAUCAUGCGAAAAAAAAAAAAAAAUCAAAGGAAUCAAUGAUUAGGAUUUCUCCCAGUUCACCCCUUCUACAACCGCAGAUCGUCGGGAUCAUAACUGGGUAAUGUAGUUUAUCAGUAGUUCUACAAUAUAUCAGCUAUAGCAUGUCAAGCCAUUAUGGAAAUAUUGGCUGUUUCAGAGUAGAAGAGUGAGACUAUUACAGCCACAUAACAAUACAAGUAUCAUGAAAUUAUAGAAUGGACAAAAUAUGUUAGCCAUGGGUUUGUUUCUAAUAUUUAGCUACUAUAAGGAGUUUAUUUAUGAAUAAUUUUGUUGUUGUGACGAGUUCUCUUUUUCUAAUAUUUCUUAGAAGAUGGUGUGAUCUCCUGCUCUAUUUGGUUGUUUUACCUUCAGGUGAAAGAGAGGAUUGUUUUCGCUGAACUUUGUCUUCUUGGAGUUGAUGUUUGAACGAAGUGAAUACCCUGGAUCACUCUUCUUCAUUCCCAAAGAGGAUCAUUGAGUUCCUCAGUAAAAUAUAACAUCGACGCUCGUACAAAAUUUCUUUGUUCGACAUUUCCUUUCGCUGGUCGUGCUAUAUCAAAUCCUGAGUUCAGGUGAAUUUCUGCUUCUCUUUCUUCUUUUUACUUUAGCUUUAGGAUUAGCAAAAAUUCUGAAGAUAUUGAACCAUGAACAUCUUGAAAGGAACAUGCAUGCGAUUUCGAUGUGGGCUACUUUCUUCAGUCUUGCAUUAGAAAGAGCAGUUAUUAUAUUUCAUUUCUAUUUGAAGGUUCACAAGGGAAAAGAAAGACUGAAUAAUUAACUCCCAGAAUUUUGCAGCUUAAAAACAUGGAGUAGGUUGAGUAAAUAAAGUUGCGAUUGGAGGUUCGGUUUUGGGUUUUUACUGACUUAUACUUUCAAACUCCAACUUAGUAUCGUGUUAGCAUAAUUUUAGAAAUCACGUAAUAAUCUAUAUCAGCCCAUAAUAUUUUUCUUUGUUAGUGUGAUCCUGUAUCAGUCAGUAUUAUUUUUCUUUGUUAGCAUGAUCUUGUUAGAGUAAUUUUAGAAAUUACAUAAUAACUUAUAUCAGCGAGUAAUAUUUUUCUUUAUUAACAUGAUCUUAUAUCAUCAUGUAUUAGUUUUCUUGUAUGAAGUUUGUACACGAGCAUAUAUAACCCUUGAGAUAUACCGAAUAUGAUGGAGUAGAAAAAUAAAAUCAUUUUUCUCUCUCUUUUUUUCUCUUGUUUUCCUCUUCUUCUACAAAUAUGUUAACAUACUGUAUGUAUGUUACAUAGCUAUGUCAAUAUAUGCAUCAACAUAUUUCCUUGUGCAUGAGACAUGUAAUGAAAAAUAUACUGGAUGUUUCGUACAUGUCCUUGCAGGAGGCUCAGCUCUCUAUUUUGACUUGGAAAUCAAUAAGAAAUCUCCCAAAGCCAUCUGUAAACCAGAAUCUUUUCCAUUAUUCCAGUCUUUCCACAUAAUUUGAAGAAUGGAAAAACUGGAGUUAAAAAAUAUAAAACGGUCAGUGAAAAGGUAAUAAGCUAUCUUCCAAACAAUUUUGAUAGAAAGAAUAUAAAGUUUCACAGAAAAAAAUAAGGAAAAGAUGGGGUGAAAGGAGAGAAAAGGCCAUGUUCCCUAAGAAUGUGGUGCGAGAAAAGAGAACCUUUAUCACAAAGUUCUCAUAGGCCUGAACAUUGACCACUUCAUAAUGGGCUUUGAAUGCCUUGCAGGUGCCCUUUCUAUGAAAGCCAUAUUAAGUUAAUCUUGUUUAUUUUAUAAUUAGGUACUGUUAAUAGUUGAAAUGACAUCUUCUUCUAUUUGUGCAACAGUGUGACCAGCACAAACAAUAAAAAUAAUUGAAAGGCAUCGAUAUGGCGAGACCCACAUGAAUGGCAGGUGACUAGUGGGUCCUUCCUAUGUGCAGGAAACUAAGAGCUAGAGGACAUGACAAGGUGGCAGAUUUGCUCUUUCUUUGUGAACAGAAAGGAAGCAAAUUAAUGCAUCAUAACUAUUCUCAUGUCUUGAUAAAAAUGGCUUUAUUGGACAUGUGGCUUUAGUUCCUCAUUGUCUAGAAAAAUUGCAAUUGAUAACACCUUGCUAGAAAUGCUUUUGCUGCAAAAAUUAUUGCAUUCAGGAGAAGAUUUUAAUGGAGCAUUUUACACUUUUAAUAGACCUUUUACAAUUUGUGAAAAAUUAGUUCUCUCUUAGUAGUUACUAAGACAUGUUAGCAUUGCUCCGACGAGAAUUAAUACGGCUCAAGGACUAUAUUCACCUAGCUUGAUCUGAUGUUGGCCUCAUCAAGUCUCCAAAGCCAAAUCCAGUUGGGAUCUCUAGUGUAAUCAAAGCCACCUAGUUAGACAACCAAGUCUCUUCCUGAAGGGUUCGCUCACCAGCACACGUAUUUUUGGAUUUCAGCAUUCCAUUUCUUUUCCUAAGAAUUUGUUUGUAAACCUGCAAGCUAUUUCCUGCUAUUGAGAUCUUCGAUGAAAAGAAAAUUGCUGCUUUUGAUGGGCAUUCUUUUGCAUUCAGUCCCUCUGCAAGUACCCUAUAUCAUUUGGUGCGGAUAACAUUUAGGUAAAAAGGGGGUGAUGUUGCUUUUCAAGCCAAGGAUAUUUUCAGAAAGGCUAAUAGGGUUGCGGAUUGGGUGGUCUCGUACAUGGCUGACCACUUCAGAGGGCUAUGGGUUAUAGACAGGGAGCUGCCCAGAGCACUUCCAAACUUGUUGUUUUUUGAUUUUUUUAGGUGUAUUUAUACUAGAAGUUUAUGAGCCAUCCGUUUUAGCAUAAAUAAAAAAAAACUGUUAGAAGAUAACAUUUGGAGGUCAAAUUGAAUCAGUUUCUAAUCCAUCUUGGUCCUGAACUUUUGUAAUUAUAGGAGUUUUCCAUAUGAUGGGAACAAAGGAAGCAGUACAGUAUCUAAUCAGUAGGCAAGGUGGGGUUUCCCCAGCUACGCUGGGCUGGGCUGUACAGGUAUUGGCCUCACUUUAAGUUGCAAGUGUCUUGGCCAAAUUUAGUACAUGGCCCCAUGCUUACACCAUAUAAAUUAUACUGGCAUCUAGCACAAGCGAAGUAUAUGAUUGACUGAAGCAGAUGGAGCAUUGGAUAGAUGGUUGAGAAGCCAUCAACCGAUGAAAUUUAUGCUACUGCGCAUGAUUGAGGUUUGAAUUUCCAACCUUAGGAUAACUCAACAACUACGAGUGCUAGCCAAUUGCGCCGCCACCCCUAGGUCAUAUGAUCUUUUUAUGUGGCAAUUGAUCCAUAAUUUUUGUUUUUGUUUUUUUCCUUUCUUGGUUAAUAAUGGCUACCCUUGUUCCUACCAUGAAAUCUAAAGAGUGAAAAUCAAAAGGCGUUUAUUGAUCAUAGAAGAGAAUGCUUGUCACACAUUAUUGUUACAGAGUGUCACCCGACAAAGACAAGGAGCCAUUGAGUUUCAUAUAAUAGGAGAUAUGUAAGAGAUAUAUGGUUAACAUAGUCUCAUAAAAAGUACUAAGCUUUAUAUAUAAUAUAUAAACCAUAAUAAAUAUUAAUUUUAUACAAAAAUAUAUUGUCCAUGAUAAGUGAACUUAGGCAAACCUGCAUGAGGCCUCUGAUAUGGAAACUUGAACCGGAAGCAUGUCACCAAAAAUAUAUGGUAUAAACAAAUUUCAAAUUAAUUCAUAUACUCAGAUAACCAAGAAUACCUCUUUAGGCUUAUAAUAGAAAUAUCAAAAGAUGUCAGUAAAAAGCUCUAUGACACGUCCAAGCUCUGCCGGCACUCCAACCUAUCCUCUUCCAACAUAAACAGUAUUUUAGUUUUUUUCACUAACUCCCGUUUAUUCAGCUAAGUAGCUAACAAAUCAAAAUGUCCAAACUUAACAAAAAAAAAUCAUAGCGUGCAUGGGGCAUGGUACAGCAAUUGCUUUGGGUAAUUACAAUGCAUUAAGUUGGAAUAUCUGUUCCGGGAUUAAAAAGUAAAGUAUUUUUUUUCCUUUUAUUUGGCUAUUUAUUUAAUAGAACACCUCCAACAAUUAACAUGUGGGUUAAGCCAUAAGAAUGGAUUCGUCCACUGGCCACUUUCUACUCUAAUGUGCCAUGCAUUGUUCGAACCCUGGAUCAACUCUCAACAUAUGGUGGCUUACUAGCCUGUUUGUAAGCUAACAUGGCAGGGAAUUUCAUUUCUAGCCCAAUCUAUUAAUUAAGACAAGCAUACAUACAUUUACAAAAAUUCAAAAAUAAAUUAUCCAAAAAUUAGAGCCAUAGUUAUGUUGAAGAAUCUUAUAGUGUAGAUAUAAUAUGAUUGGCCAUAUAACUUGCGUCAUUUCUAGUCUAAAACUUUAAUGAAAAAGUAAAGCAGGUACUAUUUCCUCUCACCGUCUUUCUUCGAAAAUUAGUUAAUCUAUAAGCUGAAACUAUCGGGGCAGGAGGAUCAUAAUCUUUAGAUUUGGUCCACCACAUAAAUUGUUCAAUUUAGAGUAGGUGCACUUAUUUAGUGGAAAUCCUUAGUGCAUGGUGUCAGAUAUUUUCCUCAGUUUCCAUUUUAAAACCACCGACAAGUAAGAGCGAUAGGUCAACCGCCGCACUACACCAUGGCUCCACCCAGAACCUUCCGUUAUUGCUUGGAACCAAUGCGGCGGAACUCAGAUCGAUGGAAUCUGGCCGACUGCCACCUGGUGGCGGAUCCAACACGAAAGAGUUGGUAGAAAGGACCCAUCAUUUGACAAUGUGGCAUUUUAUGGCCCCACCCCUGAUAAAUCUAGAGUUCUCUUCAGUACGCACCGUAAAAUACUGUGCAACAUUCGAUAGCUCCGGAUAGGACCAUGAUAGACCCAGGAUGACAACAGAAUUUUAUAGGUUUCCAUCUCUUCUUUCCUAGAUUUGUUAACUUAGAUCCUAUUUGAGAAAGAUGUUGAAUGUGGAGAUUUUAUAAAAAAUUAUUUACUGUUUGUUUGACAACUAUUCUUUAGUAUGACAAAAUAACCAUAAAUAAUAUUACAUAAUAAUAUAUAAUAUAACAUAAUAAAAUAUAAUAUAUAUUAAUACAUAAAUAUAUAAUAUAGUAUAAUAUCAAUAUAAUAUUAUUAUAAUAUAAUAUUAUAAAAUUAUCUAUUAUAGUAUAAUAAUUUAAUAUAAUAUAUUAAUGUAUUACCGUAUCCAAAGCUCCCGGCCUUAGACACAUAGUGGAACUCUAUUAUUGCCCAAGAAAAAGUCAUUAACCUCUUGCCAGCUUUAUCGUAAAUAUUCUUCAUUCUUCUUCAUGGAGUUUUUCGUAACUUUUUCUGUGCGAUCCAGCAGCCAUCUUUAGGGACCAUCGUUUCUUUAAAAAAACUUGGAUUCUCACCAUCAUACAAACUUGAAAUUAACAGAUCUUGUUUCGUUGUCAGACAAACAUUAUUAUUAUUAUUAUUUUUUGGAUCAACGCUUGUUUCAUCUUAUCCCAAGCCAAAAAAUUCUGGAUAUGGAUAAAAUUGAUAGAUUUUUUUUUUUUGUUUAAGUAUAAGAAUAUCCUUCAAUCUCUAGGGUAACGGUGCCGCCAUCUCCGAUAGCACAGCUCGACCAUACUUACCUUUUUUUCUACAUUACAUCCUAUUUUUCCGAUGGGCUUCAGUCUCCAUUUCACCUGCAAAAUAAGGAGAAAAAGAAAAAAAAAAACUUAUACCGUAUUCAAAAUGUAAUAAUUCUAUUUUUUCAUUUUACUUAUGUUGCCAAGCAGGGUUAAUUUUGUAUGCUCUCACACACUGCAUUCGCCUAUGCCUUUUUCAACCAUGAUAAACCUUUAGGUCUCUCCCUCUUGGAAAGUUGUCUCUACAAGAUUUCAUGAUGUGAUAAUAAAAUUAAACUGGAUGGUAUGGUUAGGCAUUUUUAUUUUAUUUUUUUUAUGACAGUAAAAUCAAGAUUAGAUAAAAGUAACAAUCUUUUUGUGCCCUUGCUAUACAGAUUAAAACAUUUGAGUUUCAAUACUUUUAUCUGGCUGUUACUUUGCAUUGAUUUGAAGUUGGGCAAUUCUACCAUGGCACAAUUUUGUUUUUUGGUAGGGCAUGAUAGAAAAAUUUAAAGUUCUCUUUUCAUAGCCGUUGGGCCUUAGUUUGAGUUCCAUCGGAUGAGAGGGCAGUUGCAACUACAGUAGAAAUUCUGACACUUCGCUUUUCUUGCUAAUUUAUGCCAACCAGUAUCAAGAUGAUAUCUUAUAAAAAUAUCUCCAAGCAAUUGGGGGUAAGUUCUAUAAUGCUAGUAUGUUGAUUGAACAUAUACCUUCUCGUAAGGCCACAAAUCCUAGCCCAGUCAAAUAUACAUAUCCCUCGGCCUUUUCCCAACCUCUCAGAUUGAGAUUUCCUUAACCCAACACAACCUAACCCUAACUUAAGCUAAAUUUGGGUUGGAUCUAGCAACGCCAACUAUGUUACAUUACGUUGAAUCAAAAAAAAUUAAAAUAAAAAAAUUGUCACAACUUUGGAUCUUACUUAAAAAACUAGUUGGAAGGUAUUUUUUUGAGUUACUUAGUCUUGUAUAAGUACCCAAAAUCUUCUCGGCGAAUAACCGAUGUGAGACUAAACAUACAUCCACAUGAAUCCUUACAUACUCUUUCUGUUUAAGCCUAACAUCCUUAUGAGGUUUAGGAUUCAAAUUUAUUCAAAUUUAAUCAUAAACACCAUGAGUGGCUCGUGGUCAGCCUCUAUGAACUCAUGCUACGGUGCCUCCCAAUCCACAUAGGCUAUGGACCAUGUUUGCUUUGAUACCAUUUGUUAUAACCCAAGGUCUCACCUAAAAAGGCUAGCUGAAAGGUACUGUUUUUUGGGUUUCUUAGUCCUAUAUAAGUAUCCAAAAUCUCUUCGACGAAUAACGGAUGUGGGACUAAACAUAUACCAACACAAAUCCUUACAAGUGCAAUUUAAAACAUUCAUGAUCGCUAAAUGUUUACUAUUUAUCCAUAUUUUUAUUUAAAAUAAUGUUCACAAAUUUUUCGCACUAUGAUCACUAUAACAUAUUUCAACCAUUCAUCAAUUUAAAUGAUGACUCACAAGGCUACAAAAACAUAUAAAUCCCAUAUGAAAUCUAAAUAUGAUUAUUUAUUUAUUUAUUAUUUAUCGUUUGGAUCAGGACAGCUUGGGUUGGAAAUCAACAAUAACUCAAUCUAAGAAAAGGUUGGGUUGGAAACCCAAGAUCGGGUUGGGAUUUGUGAACCCAAGCACAACCCAAAAUCUAAAUUUAUAACCUUAACUCAACCUUACUCGAUGAACGGACUGGGCAGGGGUUUGGAUUUGGGCCCGUUCCCAGUCGCGCACACACCCACACCCACACCCACACCCACAAAUUUUAGAAAAGCCAAGACAAUUCCUGCAUAAGUAACGUAGUCUGCUACUUGAUUUGCAUCUCUGUUGGAAGAACUUCAUUAUAACCUCUUUGGAAAAGUUAACAAUAGUGAAAAAAAAAAGCUCCAAGUUGCCAAGGCAGUUCUCUGUGUAUUAAGAAGAUAAACUAGCACUUUUCCACUAAUUGGCAGCCCAAGCCUCUGCUGUUGGAUCUACGAACAAAACCACCUCCAAUAUUCAAUAAAAAACCAAUGAUACUGAAUUCCAAAAAUGAGACAAGGGGUGGCUCUGAGCCUAGCCGUUUCACCACAAUCUUCAUAUUCCAUUUAUCCCAGGACCCCAAAAUUCCUUGACCGUAUAUAGCUAGGCGCUACAACGAAUUAUUCCACCCCAAACAAAAUGCAAUGCGUCACUAGUGAGUAUCAUUUGGCAUCACUUCAAAAACCAUGGGGCCAAACUGGUGACGGCCGGGAUCGACGUAUCUUCGACAUGAUUGUGGUUUGUACCGGGCUCGGAACUGCUUAGGAGGACAUUACUUUUGCGAGGCGUGUCGUGGGUGUAAAUCGUCUCCUCCUUGAGAGUGACUCGGCUGUGGUGAUUGAGUAGAUCCAAGGUCGGAAAGGCACUGCGAAGGAAAGACCGCUGCUCUACGACAUUUGCAGACUUCUGAAAGAGUGUGGCUCCUACAUGGCCAUUCAUGUUUAUACGAAAGCAAAUGGUGCGGCUGACUAGGUUGCUUCCUUUGUUGCUCACAACUUCGGUGGCUUUUUAUAGAGAAACCAAGCCUCUCUGCCGAAGCUCUUUAGUGAGCUAAUGUUUUCUGAUUUUAUUGGCCGCAUUCACACCCACUGCGUAUGAGCUGCCGUUAAUAAAAAAAAAACAAAACAAACAAACCUGUAUCGAUAAGAAUAGAUUUAUCCGAGAUACAUAUUUUUUUAAUGAGGUUUCAGGAAAAAUAAAGGUGUCUACGAGUCACCACAGCAACCAUGAAGACAAAUCCUGGGAAAGACACAGGAGACGCCUAAAUCUUGCCUCCAAUUCACCACAAAAGCAUCCUUUGCGGUGCCAAAGUUGCGACGUAAACACUUUACUGCACACAAUCCUUGCAUCAAGCCAUCAACGCAUGCAACCGCGGGUUCGGGGUGUAUAUUUCGCGCGAACGGAUGAUUGAUAUCCUUAACAUAAUCUGCACCGUCCGAUCGCUGGUGGGAGCGACUAAAACUGCCUGCGGCGCCUAAUUUAAGAUAGGCCUCGAGCCUUCGACAUCUACUCAGAAAAUAUAUAGCGGGGGGGACGAGGAAGAACAGCGGAGAGAAUGGCCGCGGCCGUGGGGAGCCUGAGGGCCUUCGUUCCUCGUCGCUGCCUCCGCAACCGUGGGUGUCCAAGCGCGAAGCCUCCGCUCUCGGUUCGGAUUCGAGCCUCCUCUUCCGUCACCGCCAGCGUCGAGGCUAACCCCGUGGUAAACAGGGCUCUCUCUUGAUCUAAAAUUUCGUGGUUCUUAUUCUUCAUUUUGGUUACCAAUCCGAUCUUUCUUUCUUGAUGGGUUUUCUUAAACCAUCGUAAAUCUUGAAUAGAGUUUGAUGCUGAUCAUUGCAAAGAACUACAAAUGAUGUUUAUGUAACAGGGAAUGAAGAAUCGCAAUUUACGUGACCUGUAUCCACCGUGCUACUAUCAUUGUUUCGAAAAAUUAGAUUAUGAUUAACAAAUCCAGUCGAUUUUUUGUCCUUAAGUUUUGUGAUGGUUAGCUUAAACGUUUACGGGAUGUCCCUUUUUUGCCCCCCUUUCUUGUGAAUGUAAUGGAGGGCCGAAGUCUCUAUUAGAGGAAAAAGGAGAAAAAAUUUACAGGUUCCCUGUAAAGUAGGGAGAAAAGAAGAGGAAAAUGGGAUGUCGGAUGAUUAAAAAUGUGGGAUUUUUUAGUUCAUUUUAGUUCAAAAAUUUUAAAAAAAUGACAUUUUUGGUGGAUGAGUUUAUUGGUAAUAUAGGCAGUAGUUUGGAGGGUGAUAGGCUGUUGAGGGUCACGGAUUUAGAAUUUCAACAGAGAUGAACAGGGUGUUGUCUCAGAUAGAUGAUGUUAUAGUCUUUUUAUCACCUGAUCAAAAUCUAAUUUUUGAUCGCAAUGAGAUGGAACAGAGGAUUUUUUAUUUUUUAUUUGCUGUAAUUUUGCUAUAGGAGCAUCCGACAAGAGACAAAAAUGGCAGAAUUAUGGAGCCUUGUAAGUUACCUCUCAAGCAAUUGAACUUGGAAAAAAGAAACUUGGGUCUCAGCAUCAACCAGCAUGCCUAUUUUGCUACAAUAGGAGCAUCCUACAAGAGACAAAAAUAGCAAAAUAGUGAAGCCUGAUAAGUUACCUCUCAAGCAAUUGAACUGGGAAAAUUGAAAAAUGAAACUUGGGUCUGAGCAUAACCCAACAUGCCUUAUUGAAAACGUGUGGAGUUGGGCUUACUUUCUUUCAACAUCCAUUCCUAGUAACUGUCUACAACCUUCUUCCAACAAAAAAAGGAAAUCAUCACUUCCAUCCAUUUUUUUUAGGUACCAUCCUUUGUGUUUUUGACCAUUAAAUUCUAAUAACUAUUUAUUGUGAUCUCUUUGAAUUCUCUUCUGGGUAUAUGCGUAGCUCUGCCUCCAUUAUCCUUGAACUAUACUGGUACAACUAAUGAUUCAUAUAAUAUUCUAGCUUCCACCAUACUUAUUCCUAGUUUUUUACACAUCCAUCAUUCUCAUCAUACGUAUUAUCUGUCUAGACUUAGUCCUAGUUUUUAACACAUCCAUCAUUCUCAUCUUGUGUAUUAUCUGCCUAGACCUUAUUUAGUGCUCCAAAUUUUUGUUGGUAGUACUAGCCACAUCAUUGCAUCAUUAUGUUAUCCUUUAGUCUGUACAAAGAUAAGACAAAAGUAUACCUCCUUUCUCAUGUAUAAUAGAUCAAACAUAAAGGAAGUUAUCACAAAGGAGCACUUCUUGGUCCUUUAUGCUCACCAAGACUAUAUUUGACUUUAAUAUCCACUUCGUGCACAAGCAAAUGACCUCCCAAAUAUAUGAUUUAGGUUUCUAGGUAUUUUGAUAACAUAGAUUAUGACCAAUAGUGUGAAUUUUCCAUCCAGAAUGUCCAUCUCUGAUUUUGAAUUGAUAGAUUUUGUUUCAAUCCUUCUGGAAAGAAUGUCCAUCUCACUCUCACUCUAGCAUAUAUCUAUGUACAUAUAGUUGUGCAACCAUGUUGUAAUAACUGGUCACGUAAAACCUAUUACACCACUUCCAAUGGAUCCAAAAGCUAAUAGUUAGGGCCUGUUAGCAUGAAGCCACAAACACAUCAACUUAGUAACUAUUCUUAAAUGAAGUAAUUAAUAAUGCUUUGACAAUUCAUCUUCGAGCUUUAUUUUUCAAAAAUAUUAUACAUAUUGCUGUAGAAGGAUUAAAGUCUUUCAUUGUGGUGGUGCGCCAGCCUGGCAUUGGCAUGAUAAAAUUUUUACUAUGCCUUGCCAUGUGCCAUCUCAAUACUGGCACGGUUUGGAUGGCAGCAUGCCAAGUAGUGUGCAUGCCCCAUAUCAUGCCAAUGCAGCAUUGAGGUAAGGGACUGAACAAUAGCAAAUUGCAUAUUGUUCAGUGUUGUGCUUUGCUGGUUGGCACUUAAAUUAUGAAUGUUGUUGUCUCUGAUAACCUUUUCUCUGCUCUUGUGUUUUCAGGAUCCUAUUCCAGAUGCAAAAGUUAGCACUGGGAUGAAUAAUUUAGGCUGUCCUGUUUGUUAUUAUCCAUUAAUCAGUAAAAGUAAUGCAAGCCAAACUGUGUAAGUUAUCUGAUUUUGCCUUGAUAGAAGGAGGCUCUUCUCUACCUGUCAGCUUUUGAUCCCUAAGAUAAUGAAGAUCGUUUCCCCAGUGUUCUUACACUUUUAAAUCAUAUGCUAAUCGUUUAUUUUAUGUUGCACUGGAUGAGUUUAUUACAGAGCAUCACCAGCUGGGUCUGAUGUUGAAUGCCAUAUUUGCAAGAAAGAUUACUUCAAUAAUGGAAUAUAUCUGGAUCUGACAGUAUCUAGUGGCUCAAAAGAGUACACUGAAACUGUGCCAGCUGGAACAGAACUUUUUAGGUACCUAUUUACCUUUAAACUUUUAAAGAAUUCUAUAUCAUAUCUGUUGCUAAUUUUAAAUGAUAAAAUCACAUUAGAUCAUUACAGACUUUCCAUCUCAGCAUUUACAGACCUAUACACAUAGUUAAGUAAUGGAACUAUGAUUUUGUCCAUAGCGUGAUCCUUGACCUCUUAUAGGAUGCACAAAUGUCUCAAAUGGAUCCUCAUAUAUGUAUCAAAUUACUUGAUAUGAUUUGCGUAGGUUAACAUAAAACUUUCCCCAAAAAAAUUCAUAAGUUAACAUAAAAAUUUCACUAUAUUUGUGAAGUCACUAGUAAAAAUUGCUUUGUUGUUUGAUCCUUAUGCAUUCGCUGUGUAUUAUAAAAUCGAGCAAGUUUUUUUUUGGAAGAUAUAUGCUAUUUGCAGGGGUGAGGGAAUCCCAAACAGAUUUGCAAGUUCUAUGUAUUGAAGAGAUUAACUAUGAAUGACACUCAAAUCAUUACUAAAACACACAAUUCUUUGCAAUUCCAUGUUGCGUUAUAAAUGUUAGGAGCCAUGAUCAGUUAAGGAGAGGGAUGCAAGACUAAUAGUGAGAUGCAAGGAAAGGGAUUGGGAGAUUUUGACAAGAAGGGUGUUGCUCCACAUGAUUGUCUCUGGUUAUCAUUGUUGAGCUCUAGUGAUUGGGUCAUAGAUAAAAUAAUAGCAGAAACUGGAGUGGAAUGAGUGGGCAUGGGAACUUAUUUUUUCCCAUUUCAUUCCUUAGGAGUCCAAGGGUAGGUAAUGCUCAAUCUGUCCAAAAUCAUCUAAAGAGGAACACUGAAAAAGAGUUUUACCUUAAAACUGAUGCAAAAUAGGAUAAAAAUAAGAAGGGGUUAUCUACUAAUGCUAUAGAAAAUCUCUUGCUACCUCUAUCUUCUAGGUUACUCAAAAUGAAAAUUCUAAAUCCUAAAGUUCUCCCUGCCAAUUUUUUUAAUUUUUUUCCUUCUUUUUUAUUUGGGUGGUGGAACAAGCCUUUCACUUGUGAUUUUUUUUCUGUAUACUUGUUAGUUUAAAGUACAGUAGCUAUUCCUCCUCUCAAUGAGUCACGGUUUGCAGUUUUCCAUCCAAUAUCAUGUAGUUGUUCUUGGUACUUGAGUUGUUAGGGUCAUGUAUAGAGGACUGUACCUGCAUGUAUCAUGAAGGAUUUGAAGGAGGGAGCUGGGGUGGGGUUUUGUCUUGGUUUUGCCCAAGGAUCACCGAACCGGUACUGUAUCGGGUACUGGUCGGCGCUCGGAUCGAUUCGGACCGGUACCGAACCAGCAAAAAAGGCCACAGGUGCAGCACGCACGCGGCGCCACAGCCACAACGCACGACGCGCUAUGGCAGAUCGAUCCAGACUCGAUGCCGGUUCGCACUGAGUCCUGGCUGAACUGGACGGAACCAAUCUGGUUCCGUCCGGUUCGUUCUUAUAUCGGCCUGUUAGGGGCCGGAACCGUUUUGUAUGCCCGUACCGAUCCGAUCAACAACCGGGUCGACACAGUUCGGCCUGAGCCAGGCGGUACAGCCCGGUUCAGCAUUCAUUGGUUUUGCCUCAGUAUCAAUACUGGAGCUGAAGCUGCUUAGAUUUGUUUAGGUUUUCUCUUCCUGCUGGAGUUCCCUUCUAAGUCUAGUGCUUCUUCUAGAGUAUCAGCAGAAGGCCCUUUCACAACCCAAGAGGGAUUCUAAAUUUUUGAAGAAUGAAAAUGUUCUAUUCAGGUUUUCUGGAUACUUUUACUUUAGUCAGUACUUAAUAGCUAACCCUCCACUGUUUUGACAUCAAAUUUUAGGAUGUAGGAGGCCAAUGGAAACUGAUGCUAAUACGAACAAAAAUGGAACUUGUAACUAGCUUUGCAAGGAAGCUUUAGGAGCAUUUCUCACUGUGGUUUCCAAUGUGUCAUCCAUUUAGGUCCUACAAGGUUGUGUCAGAACAUACUUUUCUCCUACUAGCUUUGUCAUGAAUACUCUUAAAUCUCAAACGAUUGUUGAUCUCUUUCUGAUAAUCUCUUUUAUGAAUGUAUGAAUAUUUCCUAAGUUUGUGCCAUCCUGUUGGAACAGCAUUCUUUUGGCUCUUUGCCUUGUUUGUGCAUCUAAAAUACAUAAAAUUUAACGGCAGCAAAAGAUAUCUUUCCCCUUAGUCUAGAUACUUUGCAAGUCUAGGGAAAUUUUGAAGGAUUGCUCUUUAGUUCCACAAGCUCAGCUGUGACCAAUAAUGUAGAUUUCCCUACCUGCGCACCAAGCAUAUAGGUUAUAUGAAAAGCUCUUCACUUACCUAGAUUUGCCAUGCUAGGGAUUCAAUAUUGAUGUAAGUUUGACUACUGGUCAUAAAAUGUGCUCUAUCCUUUUAGGGAGCCUUUUUCUUAACAUUGAGUUGUGUGCUAUUGCUAACCCAAUAUGGUGGUCCUAGAAUCUGUUCUAUGCUUUUAGAUAGCCUUUCUCAUCAUUGAGUUGUGUGCUGUGGCUGAACCAUAUUUGGUAGGAAAAGGCUUUCUAACAUUAAUGUUGAGACUUUCUCAACUUUCAUGGAGUCUCUCUCUCUCUCUCUNNNNNNNNNNNNNNNNNNNNUCUCUCUCUCUCUCUCUCUCUCUCUCUCUCUCUCUCUGUGUGUGUGUGUGCGCGCGCGCGCGCGUGCGUGUAUGUGUGUGUGUGUGUGUGUCAAUUGCCAUUUGGUAUCCAAAAUUUAAUCCUGAUUUGACUGCUGAAGAAUAUCAUGCCAAUCAGAUCUGUAAGCCUUUUGAGCUUGCCUCUUAGAUAAAUAAAAUUUAUCUCAAUUAGCAUGAGAUUCUUUUUUUCAUUCAAUAGUACAUUUUUCCCCUAUCCAUGCAGCCUAUUUAAAAGAAUAGGAGUCCUUCGGCACCAUUUGUGAUGUUGCAUUGUUGUCUGUUAACAAGUUAGCCGAUUGGUUAUCAAAUGGUUCUUUGUUUAAACUAUGUAUCAUUUCAUCAGGUAUGUUACUGACUGAUUACCUAUUUUAAUAUCUUAGUCCUGGAUCUAGGGAAUUAAUGUGCAUCUCUUUGUUUGCAUUGAAUGCUAUAAAAAUGAUAAAUAGAGGAAAAUUUUAAAAAAAAACACCUUGUUUAGUACUUACAUAUUAUGUGUGGGAGUAAAUGAUGGCUUGGAAAUCUGAUGCAAAACAACUUUGCAGAACAUCUUGACUACGUCACCCUUGUAAAGAGACGAUAAGAAACUCCUGCUACGUUGACCUAUUUUAUUGAGCUAUAGGUAGUCAAAGAGCAAGAAACUGAUUCACUUUGAGUUGAACUUGCACGUUUCAUUCUUACUGACUGUUUAUUGGAACAGGAGUCAAUUGGUUUCAUUUCUUUAUGAAAGGGGAUGGCGACAAAAUUUCAUAUGGGGUGGUUUCCCUGGCCCACAAAGAGAGGUUUUGUAGUUUACCGACUUCCAACUAUAUAUUGUUGUCCAUUGUAAAUUGAUAAAUGACUCAUUUGUAUUGUUGCAGUCUUUCAUUUCAGCAACUUUUUUUUUAUGCAGUUUAUACAAGUAUGAGCUAGGAGAUACUAACAAUUUUACUCUUCUUAGAAUUCUGAGAAAACUCAUCAAAAGUUUGGAAAGUUUUCUCUGAAGUACCAAUAAGAAGCAUAAUUGAACCACUUUAUAAUAUACAUUGUGUGAUAUGAAUUUUUCAGGUUUAUUUUCCUUGUGGUUUUCACAUUUGUCCAAUAUCAAAAUUUCGCUGAUAUUCUUGUACUGCAGUUUGAAAUGGCUAAAGUUUACCUUACACCAACCAUUGGAGGAACUAUUGUCGAUGCAAGUUGUGGAAGUGGCUUGUUUUCAAGGCUAUUUGCUGAAAGUGGAAUGUAUUCACUUGUUGUUGCUUUGGAUUUCUCAGAGAAUAUGCUGCUGCAGUGUGAUGAAUUCAUUAAGCAGAAGGGCAUUUCAAAAGAGUUGGUUUUUCUCCUUCCACAUAAGCUAAUGUUCUUAUAUAUCAAUAGAGAUUGUCAGGACCUUCAGAAUUAUCUUGCAAAAAUCUUUCAAAAUAAAAAGUUAUAUGAAGGCUUAGUAUCUUACUGGUAGUUUAUAUCUCAGGUUGCAAUUUUUUAAAAGAACUAAAAUCAUGCAAGUUUUCUGCAGGAAUUUAAUCUUGGUCAGAGCUGAUAUCUCUAGACUUCCAUUUGUUUCAAGUUCCAUUGAUGCUGUGCAUGCUGGUGCUGCAUUACAUUGUUGGCCUUCACCAUCCACUGCUGUGAGUGCAUUCUCCGCUCAACUUUUCUUUAGUGAACAAGUUUAAACUCAGGAGACCGAGUUUCACAGUGCAAGAUAUGUCUAGGAGCUUAAGCAGUUAAAUUAGGAUAUAAAGAUUAUGUGUUCGAGAAGGUGCUCUACUGUGUGGUGUUAAGCUCGCUCUCUCUGCUUGGCGCCAUCACCGUACCCUCUAACCAUCACCACCAUGACAAAUCCGAGCCUACCAAAAGCUUGUCUUCUCCUCUAUGAUCUAACCCUAUAUUAAAUUACUAGAGACUACUUUAUGAUCAAUGCUGACCUAAUAUUAUGCCCGCUAGUUGAUUGACUUGGUUUGAAGCCUUUGUGCAGUUGUACUGCUCAUCUUAGUGGUUCUCCGAGUCAUGAUUGUUUACUGGUUGGUGUUGGAAAAAAAGGUUGACACUAAGGUGGUCACAGAGGCUUGGUUCAGCUUUUACCAGGGUCCUAGUUCCAACACCAAACCUAUAUCUUGUUGCCAUGGUCCUUUGAUUAGUCUGGAACUCGCGUCAUGAAAUAGUGAAAGACAAAGGACAGUCAUUUCUCAAUCUGUGUUGAGCUUCGCAGCAUGGUUUUUUACCUAUUUAAGCCUUAAUUCUCAAUCAUUAGUAGGCCAAAGGCCAGCAUGAUUUUGUUUGUAUAUUCUAUAGUCCUGAUCUUCAAACCUCUAACCUUAUAUUAUAAUAUGAUCCUCCCUAUGUUGGGUUUAUCUCACAUCCAAUUCCAUAGGCUCUUUCGUUGAUAAUUUUCCUAAUUCAUCUAAAGCUGCUUAUUGGAUUUUGGUGGUGUCUGCAUACUAUUCAUUGCAGAACUAAAAGUUUCGAACAUCAGUUAGCUAGUCACGGUUCUUAUAGUUGGUUUUCUUAUCCAUUUCUUUAGAUUAUCCAGUAAAAAGAAAGCAUACCAUAGUGCAUCAGUAAAUUAAAUUAUUAUUUAUGUUCAUAUUCUUUCCAAUAAAACUUUUGAGUUGGUUUUGUUUAAUUAUUGAAAGAAGGAAUAACGAAUUCAGCUCCUUGCUUUUGUCUCCCCCAUAAUAAAUAACUUUAUGGCAAUGAAAGAAAAGUACUUUCCUUCUCCAAUCUGAAUUUUCCUUCUCUUACCUGAAUUGUCUUGUAGGUCGCAGAAAUAAGUCGAGUACUCCGCCCUGGAGGUGUAUUUGUUGCCACAACAUUUGUUCUUGAUACUAUUCCUCCAGCUGUUCCAAUCUUCAGAGCAAUACGUGAGGUAAUACCUUAUUCAGCCAAUAUAGAAAACAUUUGAUUCAUUUAUAUAUGAAAAUAAAAAUAAUGGGCUGCAAGCAGGAGGAAAAAAUAAUAUUUUCUCAUCUAUACAGUGCUACUGUUGGAAUUUCAUUAGUUGCUUAGACAGCCCCACUUUUCCAAUUUGAAAUGAGUAUAAACGUUAACCAUCAACCAAUGGGAAAUUCAUGAUCUCAAAAUCCCACAUGCUUGCUAACAAUGUUAUGAUAAACGUAGUAUGCUUUUGCANNNNNNNNNNNNNNNNNNNNNNNNNNNNNNNNNNAGGUUCCUUUUGUUUUUUUUCUUUUUGUAUUCUUGUGCACUUCUAACUGGCUAUGUUUUUUUUAAACCUUUUGAGGAGGAAAUUUUAAUUGGCUAAGCUGUGUCCUAAAAAAAAUUGGCAUGUUUCAUAUCGCCUUUUUCCUACUUUCUGUUUUUUUUAAAAAAAAAGAAUCAAGAGAAAAAUAGGUUUAGUGUUAUCAAUCACUCCACCACCAGCCAGCGGCGACCACCAUUACCGUUGCUGCCACCAUUGCAGCUGCUGCCACUGCCACUAUCCUGCUUGCCUCUACCUCUGCCUUCACUUCUAAUAACAACCGUUGCUAGAAGCUAGAAUAGGGAUGGUUUUUAUUUUUUUAUGUUUACAAAAAUAAAUGUAGUUUUUAUAUUGUUGAUUUUUUAAAAUAAAAUAUUUUUUAUUUUUAUAAAUAGGAAAUUGAAUGUAAUACCAAAUAUAACCUCAAAUCGCUUAAUUUGCCUUUUCUUUUUUAUCCUUACAGCUUUAUACCCGAACCUCAGGCCAACACCUCUAUCUGUCAGAAGGCGAACUCGAAGAUAUCUGCAGUGCAUGUGGUUUGAUUGGUUUUACGCGCAUCAGGAAUGGAUCCUUUAUCAUGAUCUCUGCAACCAAACCGGGCUAAUCAUCCUGUCGAUGUCAACCAUUGUGCUGAUCAUCAGUAGUCUCUAUAACAAGUUAUUUUUAAAGCUGCAUCAUUGGAAUGGCCAAUAUUUGUUUGUUCUCUUGUACAUGGGUUAAGGUUUUUGGUGGUUGGUGGUGGCUUCUUGUCUUUCAAGAAACUUAAUACAGAUUACUCUGGCGGGUGCAUGGCCCAAGUCAUCCAUACACCAUUGAAGGACAUGAUUAUAGUUUUGUUAGAAAAAGGGGACAUCUGCAUAUGUUUGUUAAUAGAAUACAUCUAAAGGAUACUCCUAUGCGUUUACCCCCCUUUGCUUGAUCGAGAUUGGCUUAGUCGCUUCCUUAAAUAAUCAAAAUUUGCAUGAGAAGAUUCACCCCAUUUUAGCUAGCAAGAGGGAGGCAGUUAAUCAUCUGAUCUAUUGAUUUAUAACUUGGUUUGUAUCCCUACUUCCUAUCAGACCUAUCAAUUAAAGAAAUGUUCUAGUUCUGCAGUGCGAGCUUGACUGUUACUUUGAGAUGGUAGAUUUCUUUCAUGAGCAAGGGGCUCUCUUCCUUAUCAUUACAACAAAUGAACGUCCUUAGGGAGACGUGUGAACAACUGAAAUAUGAUUGAUUACUGGCGUUGAGUAUUGAUGCACUUGAUGGCAAGUAGUGGCCGGCGAAUAAUAGCCGGCGGUAGCGAGAGAUGGCAGUGGUGGGUGAAGGAGGUGGUAGUAGGCAGCUGCUAAUUUUCAAUAACGGUUAAGAACUAUAGCUUUUAGCUUUUACAAUUUUUGAAAAUUGGAUCCUAGUUUCGAAAAACUAAAACUAAAAAUUGGAUUACCUUUUGUUGUCUUGGUUUUUAUAUUUCAAUAAGAAUAAAAAUUGGAAACCAGCAAUCAUCCAAAAAAGGUUCCAAGUUUGUGGCGUCUGAAAUCUGCUUAUUUUCCCCCCCUCAUUCACCGUAGAUUGCAGUGUCAAGCUUGGAAGAAAUAAAGCGGGAUGUUGAUGCAGCUACAGACACUUCAGAAAGCUCAGAGCGAAUGAAAUCUUGAUUCAAUUUUUCACUAGUUUAAGGACAUUUGCUGAACGAAUGUGCCCUAAAUUUUUAUUUAGGGAUUUUUAAUAGCCAAGACUCUGGUAAGGAAAUUUCUUACAAAACUAGGAAAAUGGAAGUUAUGAUCACUGAAGAAAGGGGAAGGGAAAGUGAUUUAUAAAAUUUACACAUAGCUACACUGCAUGAGAUAUGUCAUAUGUCUGACCCCAACGCAUUUUUUCCCAUCUCGCACAUUUCCUCUCCCUCCAUUUUCAGAUUUUAACCACAAGAUCAAAGAUUCAAAUUUUCUAAAAACAGUUAUUGAUUUUAUUUAAGUAAUUUUUUUUAUUAAAAAUAAAUAAAAAUUCAAAAAAUCAAGUCUUGUCAUCAUAUAUUUACAUUUACUUCAUAAUUAAAAAUAAAAUUAUCAUGCCCAUGGUAUGAUAUUAUUACAGAACUUCGCAAAGAUCACCCACCGAGAUCCUCUGACUCUAAUGUUUCAGUAGGACCAAGAUUUUUAAUACUGAUAAAAGAAAUUUUAUAAGAGAUCCAUCACAUAAACAACCACGUCUUCUGUCUUUAUUUUUUUUGGUCUUCCAUCAAACGUCAGAGGAAAUGGUGGCACUUAAGAUGGUAUAGAAUGUCAGCUGUUGACAAUGGUACCGGGUGGCAAGUAAUGGAUAGUUUGGUGGACUGGGUUAAUUUAACAACAGGCUUUCUACUACAAUUGGAUUGAAGAGGGCCUCAUCAGAAGGCUAACUCAAGCUUCAGAGGCUCUGAAAGUGCUGUGGGUACUGCAGGGUGGAUCAUGGUGAGUUCAAGGUGGUAUCCAAAACACCUAAAUCAUUUAACCUAUGAGGACCACCAAUAAGCCGAAUACACUGAGAUCAGGCAAAAAGACAACUGACAGCAGAACAUCAACCAUGCCAGGAUCCCAAAACUCAGCCCUAGUUCGAUACGAAAUCCCCGCGCAACCAAUAGCCAGCAACUGGGGCAACCCUAGCACAUCAGCAUAAGUAACACUUUCGAUAGCAGUUUNNNNNNNNNNNNNNNNNNNNNNNNNNNNNNNNNNNNNNNNNNNNNNNNNNUUUAAGGAGGCAGCAAAGCUGCAAGACACCUUCGCAGAGUAACCAAUCAUUGGAAAUGAUGUUACCUAUAGAACUUCGGACACAAACCAAAGAGGGAAAUGUGUCUAUAGAUUAGCAUCAAAUCAUCUCUAGGGUAUCGCACUUACAAGAAACAAAAAAGUAUGACGGGGAAAAAGAAUUAAUGAACCAGUCAUCCUCAAUUUCAGGUAAUGUGCUGAAAUCACAUUUUGAUGUUGAAGUAAUCAGGGUCAAAGUGAUGCAACCUCACGUAACCAUCCUCACCACCACUUGUGAAGCUAUCCAACACAGAAAAUAAUAAUUAGUAUGGCGUCACAUGUUUGAAAGAUUUCUGUAGCAUGAAUCUCAUAUCCCAUUAAUUGCCAGCAAUAUACAGCAAAUUCUAGCCCCGAAAAAAAAAUAAUGUACAGCAAGUAUAUCGUAAAUGGCAUUUAUAGCAAUUUAAAUAACAAGACAAUAAUUCCCUUAAGAAAAGGGUGUAAUACUAAUACCAACACCAUCCCUCAAAAAAAAAAAGGCAACCAAUUUAAGCUCUUUCUAAACAUUAUACAUAGGUUGCAGCAAAAGAUUUGAAUGAUAAUAUAGUGGACAAGUCGUUGAUGUUCAAUUAAGCAAGAAAUGCCUUGCCAAAUUAUGGAAGAUUUGGGAUACUCAACAAGGACAUCAACUUAAUAUAUAUAUAUAUUAAGAUCUUUUUUAAUACAGCAUGUGGACCAAUGAAUACUUGCCUGCACUAAAAGCAUACAUGCCUUUGGUGAAGGCCUCCUGCAGCUAGAGCCCCUCAACAUCAUAUAUUAGAACUUGAUGACUCCAUUACCACAUCUCAUGCCAAGACUCAUUGUUUCUAGUCGUAACAAACAAGUUAUGCAUCUCUGUACUUUUCUGUCUUUGGCGGGCCAUAACUCAUACGCAAGAUAGGCCAUUCAUGUCGAAUAAGAGCACAUUUCGCCUAUAUGCCUAGGUGUAUCACAAGCUAAAUUCAUGGUAAUGAGAAAAGGUUAUGAAAAUGUCCUGAUAUUCUUUUUUUUCAAGGGAAAGGCAGGUCAAUCCACCCAUAUAUCCUCAUAUUCAAGAACUAUAUAUGCAUACAAAAGACUAAAUCCAACUACAUGGCCUAUGACAUCUCAAUGAUCAAUUACUGAUGAUAAUGGCAUGGCAGUAGGGGUGUGAAAAAAAGCAGGCCAAACUACGAACCCAAACCGAUCAGGUCACUUCAGUUGAGUUUAAGCAGGGUUUUUCUAUAGUCAGUUUAGUUUCAGUUUAAAAAAAUUUCAAACCGAAAAAAUUGGUUCAGUUUCAUUUUGGAUUUUUGAGAAAACCAACCCUGAUAUAUGUGUGUAUUUUCCCUUCAGUGGUUCAGCCCUAACCCUAAUCCUUUUUCAUGGGUCUCCUCCCCACUCGGACAACCACCAAUCACCCCUUCUUUAUCUCACCAUCUCUUCCCCUCACCACUCCAGCCACCGGUGCCUCCUCAUCCUGCCAAUCGAUAAGGAGCCAAUGGCGUCAUUGCCCGGCAGCUAAAGCAGCUGCAAUGGGUGGGGGAGAUGGCCCUCGUGCCUCAUGGGGUGUCUCAUCUCUUUCAAGCCCCACUAUCUUGUCAUGAAGCUCGGCUCUUGGAACCUACCCCAAUUCCUUUCUUUUGAUUCUUGAAAUCGGAAGUACGACAAGAGAUCGAUUUUGGAGUCAGCUGUAUACAAGGAAUUGGAGAGCAUCCAAAAUCCUUCUUUGAUCUAACUUGACUGUAGUCUUGUUUUCUCUUACUCUCCUUCUCCUUUGGGUUUUGUAGAUGGAUUUUUUCAAUAUAAACUCUAAGAAAACCAUCAUGAACUGGCAACGUUCGGAUCUUCUCAACAUGAUGCAAUGAACCAAGAAGGGUGCAACCAGAAUUUUGAGUGCACAUAGAAUUUUCAGUGCUCAUAGACAAGGGCGACCAGAAGAAGUAUUGAUAGGCACUAAAGGAUCUCCCCUGCCUCAAGUAAUUCUUUCCACUUAAAAAUGCAAAUUAAUAAAGAUUCAACCAUUAAGGGCAUUGCUUAAGAUUGCUGAACUAAAGGUACUAUACAGAAUAUUCAACUUUGGAUUAUCAUUUUCCCUAGUGAACUAUUAGAUCCUACUCAAAAAAAAAAACACAAAACAGAAGAAUAACUUAAGUAUUCUCGAUAUGGUGAUCAAUAUUAUUGUGCUAUAGCAUAUGCAUGUGCAAUAUGAUUAUUAAGGCCCAGAAGAUGAGAAAGUCUGCACAUGGAUAAGAAUAAAAUUUAGAAAAUCUCACAUUAAUUGCAUUAACAGCAUAAGGCAUAUGUCUACAUGGUACAAAAAUGAAAUGCAUAGAUCUGAUCCAACAAAAAGUGGCAUUAGGCUUGUUCAUUAUGGUUGAAUAAUCUCUGAUAAAUACUAAAGUUAUUCUAACUUUACUGAAAGUUCUGCCAAAGUGCUAACUUUUAUAUUAGAUGAAUUGACUAAUAUGGAACAAGCUUAAGAAGGGUCGUAGAGAAUAAAUAUUGGAAAGUAUAAACUUGUUUCCAAAUAGGCCCUAUGUAGAUACGUGUCAAUAUGAAGUGGGAAAAAAAUAUACACAAAACAUAGACAAAGCAUAAAGAAGCAUAGGCAGUGGAGGAACAGCAUCCACCCUAGAGAGAUUAGCUAAACUGAUAUACAAGCUUUGUAUCCUUAAUCAUCCCUGAAAAGACAAGCUCUUUUUAUUGAUCGUUACAGAGAAUCCAACUAUGUUUUCACUUGAAAAGUAACGUAAUCAUUAUUCUGAGUGUAUUUUUCAGAAGGCAUUGGCCAAAAACCAGCAUGCUUCAAAAUAUGACCGAAAACCUAAAAUAAAAUAAUUUCGAAGAAAAAAUAACACAGAAAACCCAUGGCCCUAGUGCAACUCUGUUAAGGUUUUAAAUACUGUGGUAUCCUGCCGUCCUAGUUUUUGCAUGCGCCCAACACUCGGGAUGGUGGAUGUCCUAUCCCAACCCAUCCCAGCUCAUUUCCCAACACUCAGGAGUCAGGAAUGUACCGUCCCCACACUUGGGGCAGUGGGAUGCCCCACUGUUCCACUGGUAUUUAGAACCAUGAACUUAAAACCAGCCAUUCAACAAAAAUCUAAUUCCCAUUGGAGUAUUGAACUUAGGGCUUUCCUUAAAUUAUGAUGUUGUGCGGUAUAGACUAAUACUUUCCAACUUUGACUGAAACACUUGCCUAGCAUAAAGUUAUAUAACUUUCCCAAAGUAUGUGUAUACACUGUACCGUCAUGUGGUAGGUACAUUCAUGUAUGAGAAACUCAACCUUUUGCCCAUACAACUGACUAAAGACAUGCAAGCUUCCAGCUUCAGUAACACCUAAAUAACUCUGAUAAAUUGUAGAAAAAAGGCAUCCAAAAGAAUACAUUAAGAAUGUUGCAAAAAAAGUCACUAGAAUUUGUGAUUGGGAACCAAAGAAUGAUCAAGAUUCAAAAACAAGACCUUAAAGAAAAGCAUAUAUGUGGAAAACAUAUAAAACAUGUGAAAUGCAUGAAAUGAUAAAUGCAAUGGCACCAUUCAUACACGUGCACAAUGCUAUAAUGUUGUUUAGCGAGUUUAGAAUUUAAGUUUCAAAAAUAGAAAAUUCAAAAGUUAAAAUGUAACAAAAGGAGAACAGAAAUAACCUUCUUCCAUCAGGAUUGAAGGCCAAAGCAUUAAUUGGUCCAAAAUGCCCUUUCACACCCCCAAUUUCCUCUUGAAGAAUCUGUUCAACAAAGAGAAAAAACAAAUUCUUAAAGCCUAAAGAAUUGAAUCAAUGGCAUAACAUUACUCAAGGAAUUCAAACCUUAGUUGAAAAGGUAAUAUAAACAUUGCUUACCUUGUGAAAGAAUUUUGCUUCAAACUUCCCAGCACGACGAUCAGUAGUUGUAACAUGCGAUGCAUCCUGACCACCUCCAAUCACCACCUGAAGGAAAUCAAAUGCCAUGAUUAUUUCUCAGAAACAGAUUCAUCCUUUAGGUGCAUUAAACUACAAAGUUCUGAUUUGCAUCUUGUGAGUCAUUAAUCAAUCAAAGUUCCAGUCUGAACGGGCAGAACACCAACUGGACUUUUACCAGAUGAUUUAGAUAAAAGUAUAUAGAAUUGUAAAAAGUGUACAGUUGCAUAUAUCAAAAGCAACAUGGUAGCACAGAAUAUCAUUUUUGUAACAGACUUUAAUAAAAAACAGAAGUCCUGAACACUGGCAGGCAAAGGCAAAUAAGAUGCAAAUCAGAUAGUUUGCAAAGCCUUGUAGUGCAGACAAGAUGGAAGUGAUUCCAAUAUUAUAAAGUCUAAACUGACAAAUUCAUGCAUGCUUGUGCAGUUGUCCGGUUGUGACUGGGUGGCUGGCUCUGUGUCUGAGUGCUAUGCUGCAUCUGGAUGCUUCACACCAACCAAUAAUUGCUCAAAUGCAGAUAAACAAAAGGGGGGUCCAUUUAGAGCUUACAUGAUCAAGAAGCGGAGAUAUCGCACAUGCAUUGACUGGGCGUUCAGUCACGUAUGCCUUGAUAAGAGUUAGUGUUCUGGCAUCCCAGAGCUAAGGAAAUUACAUAAAAUUGGUAUUAGCAGAGAUACUAUUGUCCAAAUAGAAUUACUGUGAGGGGAAAUCUUAUUUGAUAUAGAUCAUGAAAAUCGAUAAGCUACAAUACCUUGGCAGAUUUAUCCAAUGAUCCAGAGAGGAAAUGAGACCCCUUGGCAGACUUUGACAGAGAAGUGAUAGGUUUCUGAUGACCAGUUUCUUUAUCGGAUUCUUUCAGCAGCUGCCCAGUCUACAGAAAAGAAAGCCCCCAAAAUCAUAUAUUUUCAUGAAACGGCAGUGAUUAAGAAGAAAUUUCAUGGAUAACUAUAUGGAAAAAAAAGCAUCAAUGUUAACCAUUAUGACAAGUCUCUUGCUCAUUUAAGUUCUACUAUGGCAUCAUUCAAAAUAAAAAAGAAUUAACUCAUUAACCAAAAAAAAGGGUUCCAGUUUCCAAACCUCUAGCUGGUAAUGCAAGGAAGAAAAAAUCAACCAAGCUGAAUAUAUGAAUUUGGGGGCGAGUGGUUUGAAUGGGAAAAGCAGGACAUCCAGAAGUUAGGAUACGAAGUUCAAACCAAAGCAAAAAUAUGAAGUAAAAGAAUUGUAUCUGCUAGAGUACUAAUUUUACGGAAGCAGAUUUCCCUAGUCUGGUGAUCCCUAUUUUUUUUCCCAGUGGAGUUCAUGAAUGAUGGAGAUACAUGUUCAGAUUGACCUGACACAAGAAGCAUCAGGGCUUCAUAUAACACUUGCUAGACUUACCAGGUCAAUUUAAAAGCUAUAGGUUUUAAGCUACUUCACCAACCAGGAGUCUUCUGCAAUUUAAUUUUUUCACUACAUACAUCACACAUUAUUAAAAAUGUUAGUUGGACACGUGACGCAGGUACCAAGCGUCCCGUCUGGAAAAUCCAAUACAGGAAUCUUCAAGAAAUUGACAUCGGAACACAUAAUUACAUUAUAUAUGCAUGUGUAAAUAUGUGCCUAUAUACAUGUAUAAUGAAUAAUAAGCUUGAGCUAUGCACCGUUAAGUACAUAAAAUUUGAUAAAAUGCUUGCGAAUUUUAUGUUAGAUUUGAUGAUUUUCACAUAGAAGUUGCAAAAAUGGAUACAUGAUGUUGAUGACAUCACGGCAUGAUGGAAUGAAGUAUCAAGGAAUGUCAUAAAGUGUACCAAGUGUCCAACUUUGGAGGGUCCAGGUAACAGUAGUUAGAGACUAUGUAAAGUCUACAAUGUUAAUCGAGUGAAGAACUAAAAGAAUCAAACUGUAAAUUCCUAAUUCAUUAGGUCAAAAGAGGAUUACAAAUUGGUAGGAAUUGAACCAAUUCACGAUAUAGUGCAAUGAAAUAUGAAAAACAAAAUGAGUGCAUAAGAAAUACUAUAGAAUGGUCAAAUAAAUCUUAUACGCAGCAAAUUUUGCUUAUAUAGUUCCUUCUAAAAAUUAAUUUUAUCAUCUAUCUCAUGGCUCUUGAUUGAAAAAGAAAAAAUCAAAGGUUAUAUGAAUCAAGAAAACAAAAUUUUCUCAACCUACCAAAGUUAUUAAGGAAAAGCAAAUUGCAAAUUACAAGUCUGACCCUGAAUGAAGCAAGUAAAAGUGAACAAACUUUAAGGCGAGCAAUAAAGAAGAGGCUGAUGCCAGCAUAAAUCUACACUACAUUACAAAAACAAGGUGCAUAUAUAUUUAAAAAGCGCUAAACUCUAGAUAUCUGAAAUGAAUGUGAGAAGAAAAUUUAAACAGAGAUAGAAAUCACCUGGAGAGAGAAACUUAUCUCAUAUAGAGCUAAUAAUUACUCAAGCAGACUAAACGAACAGAAAAGCAACUAGAGUUGAUCAAAAGUUUUGAUGACACAAACAACAAUCUCACAUGCAAAAAUAAAUGAGAAUAAUUUAUCUGCUAAGGGAAUAAUAUCCAUAAUUAUAACUACAAUCAUCAAAAACUCAUCCUAACUAUUCAAGGACUGGUAUGAAUCCUCAUGUAUCAACUGCAGCACGAUUUUAAGCUAUAGAGAAAAUGACCAGGGGUGUUCCUCAGUCAUAUAGGGGGCAAUAAGAUAACAAUUGACAAGAACAGAAGAUCACUCAGAAACAAACAUCAGUGCAAGCAUUCCAGUCAUUGAAAAAGGGCUUAAAAUGCCCAACAAGGAAACUAAGAAUAAAAAAAAUCAAAUAAGAAUACCCAGGUAUGAUGUCAAGAAAUGAAAGAGUCUUUAAUUUUGAUUCCAAGGUACACAUGAGGAAAGGUCAAGAUGGUUGAAAGAAACAAAUAGAAAAUAAUGGAAAGUACUAUUAUCUUCACAAUGAAAGGAGGUUUUAUAACUUUGUUUAGCCAUUAUAUUCUAGAGAUUCACAAGCGAUGAUGCAAGAAACAUGACAGAGUUUUUAUCACAACAUUUUUGCCAUGACAGUAAGAGAUACAUGUGAGCAAGGAUUGCCGAACCGGACCGUACCGCCCGGUUUGGGCCAAAUCGAGCCGACCCCGUCAGAGACCGGGUCGAUUUGCUUAUGGAAAACGGUUCCGGCCAAAACCACAGUAACACUGGCCGGAACCGGACGAACCGAACGGUUCCGUCCGGUUCGAACUGGUACCGAACCGCACUAGGUGUUGACAGGUACGUCAUCCAAUCCCAGUUCGGCAAUCCUCGCAUGUGAGGUAUACAUAAAAGAAUGGGUGCACAUAUAAUCAUGUUCUAUAUAUAUAAUGCCAAAUAAGCAAACAAGUGCAAGCCAUUCAGAUUGGAUAAAAUUUUAUAGAUGAGAUAUUCAGUGACCGACCUCCGAAUCCCAUAUACGGAUCACAGCAUCUUCUCCGGCACUUAUUAUGGUCUUAUUUAAAGGUCCCCAGACAGCCCUAUUGAUUCUCCCAUGAGGACCCUUGAUUGUAAGCACUGAUUCACCAGUCUCUGCCCAAAGAGAAAAAGGCCAAGAAUUUUGUAUAACAACAAGGCAGUGAACAGUCAAACAUAUGUCAUAUUGUUAAUUUUGCUUUCUAAUAUGUCUUACGUAGUCAGCCCCUUGUCAAGAAAGACAGCCUCUCAGCCAUCAGAAAGUUUUAACUUUCAACAAUGAAUGGCUUUAAAAUAGAGUCAAAAUCCUAAGUUCACCUGUCCAAAGUAGAUAGCAAGAAAUAUGCAAUGCAUACCAGUCAGCAGCAAUAAUGUUGCCUAAACAAAAAAAAAAAGAUGACCAAGCAGCAGCCAACCGUAAGGCUGUUGAUGGUGCACUGCAAGAUCACCGCAAACAUCAACAAGAAAGAGAGAGAGAGGAGGGGUGGGGAGGAAGAGCUUACAAAACUUAUAAAAAUAUCCAAAGCAUGCAAAAUCACACGUAUCAUUUUUUCAGUUAAUUAAUUAAGCUCAUUCAAAUGACAUCAUGCAGAUUGCUUUCUCCAUUUUUUAGUGUAUAUGCAAUACAUAAAAUGAUAUAGAGGAAGGCAACACUUUUCACAACAAUGGGGCAGAAAAUGGAGCAACACAAAAAGAAAAAAAUAAAAUUAGUGCCCCACAGAGGACUUGCUCAGCUAAAAAGAAAAUAUUAUUUAAAAGAGAUAAUAAAUGAUGAUCAACUUCAAACCUCCAACCAAAUGAUGUGGAGAAGCAAGUCCCAACUGGACCUUCUGAAGUGUUAACAUCCUUGCUCAAUCCAACAACUUCGACAAAAUGAAAAGGUCGUUAAAAUAAGGCUAAUAUUGACUGGAAGAUCUCGAAAGAUCUCCUGGCAGGAGAAAAAAUAUGCAUAUGACAAAAUGGUCCCAAACUCACCAUUACAACUAAACUCAUUUCCCAUCUUUCCUUUUAUUAGAAGGUAAUGACAGAGCUAACAUCCCAGGACAUCUAGACCACCCGUAAAACAUGGAACUACCAAACUGAACCAUGCAGGUCAAAGCAUGAACGCCUCUUUUGUGAGAACUGAACAGAGUGAGCUUAAAAUGAAGCUCCCUCAACAUCCUGCCUUCAAAUUCUAUUGUCAUCAACCUCACUUGUAAGUUAGUAAUGCCAUCAGAGCUUCAAUGGGCCUCUAAGCUCCAGCAAAGCGGGGAAAAAAAAGAAAUUUUUAACAGAAAUGAUGUGAAUACUCGAUUAUUCCAUACUUUACCAAAAGAAAUGUGGCAUAAGUAUAAAACAAAAGAAGGGCAAGAAAUACACAAUGCACACCAGUCAGCAGCAAUGAUAUUGCCUAAACAAAAAUACAAGCAGCAGCCAACAAUCUGGCAGUUAAUGGUGUGCACUGCAAAGAUCCUACUCUUCCAAGAGAGAGAGAGAGAGAGAGAGAGAGAAGAGAGAGAGAGAAGAGAGAGAGAGAGUUUAGGGAAGCAUGAUAUAAAUCCACCAUCUGCAGUGUUGAAUUAUUACAUAAGAUCUAAUUUAAGGAGGCAGCAAAGCUGCAAGACACCUUCGCAGAGUAACCAAUCAUUGGAAAUAAUGUUACCUAUAGAAUUUCGGACACAAACCAAAGAGGGAAAUGUGUCUAUAGAUUAGCAUCAAAUCAUCUCUAGGGUAUCGCACUUACAAGAAACAAAAAAGUAUGACGGGGAAAAAGAAUUAAUGAACCAGUCAUCCUCAAAUUCAGGUAAUGUGCUGAAAUCACAUUUUGAUGUUGAAGUAAUCAGGGUCAAAGUGAUGCAACCUCACGUAACCAUCCUCACCACCACUUGUGAAGCNNNNNNNNNNNNNNNNNNNNGAGAGAGAGAGAGAGANANANAGAGAGAGAGAGAGAGGUGGGCCUAGAAAACUUACACAAAAACUAAGUAUGCAAAAUCAUUGUAUCAUUUGUUUUUCAGUUGAUUGAUUAAGCUUAUUCAACUGAGUUCAUGCUAGGCAGUACCAUGUAUAUGUACCUUAU
rnacentral:lncRNA from 1 species